rnacentral:lncRNA from 1 species
AUAUCUUAUUUGUUUGCCCACAUUUAAAUGGUAUAAGACUACUUUCAUUUUCAUUGAUAUCUGCUGUUUAUCCAAGCACAUUUAUGCUUGCCUUCUUAAGAUAAAGAGCUAGAGAGAAAAAGGAGUAUAGAAGAAAAACAAAUUAAUGGAUAUCAACAAUUAACCAGCAGGAAACAAAAACCACCACUAUUGCACAAACAUGGUUCAUCUUAGUGUACAACGCCAACUCAUCAUCUCGACUUGCCUAUGCAAUGCAACGUGAAACAAAAGACACACAUGCAUCUCGCAGCAUCAAUCAAUCCACGUACGUACACCCUCUCCGAUCCGAAAGACAAUGAAGUUGCAUAGCAUAGCCGUUGAGCUUAGUUGCCGGGGACGAAGUUGGUGGCGUAGGCCCAUGCGUUGUUGUUGACUGGGUCAGCGAUGUGGUCAGCGAGGUUCUCGAGCGGGCCCUUGCCGGUGACGAUGGCCUGGACGAAGAAGCCGAACAUGGAAAACAUGGCGAGGCGGCCGUUCUUGAGCUCCUUCACCUUGAGCUCGGCGAAGGCCUCGGGGUCGUCGGCCAGGCCGAGGGGGUCGAAGCUGCCGCCAGGGUACAGCGGGUCGACGACCUCGCCGAGCGGCCCGCCGGCAAUGCGGUAGCCCUCGACGGCACCCAUGAGCACGACCUGGCAGGCCCAGAUGGCGAGGAUGCUCUGCGCGUGGAUCAGGCUGGGGUUGCCGAGGUAGUCCAGCCCGCCCUCGCUGAAGAUCUGGGAGCCGGCCUUGAACCAGACGGCCUCGCCGAACUUGACGCCGUUGCGGGAGAGCAGCUCGGGGAAGACGCAGCCGAGCGCGCCGAGCAUGGCCCAGCGGGAGUGGAUCACCUCCAGCUCGCGGUUCUUGGCGAAUGUCUCGGGGUCGGCGGACAGCCCGGCGGUGUCCCAGCCGUAGUCGCCGGGGAACUCGCCGGUGAGGUAGCUCGGGGGCUCGCCGGAGAAGGGGCCGAGGUACUUGACGCGGUCGGGGCCGUACCAGGGGCUGCCGGACGCCGCCACCUUGGGCUUGCCCACGGUCUUGCGCAUGGUGAUGCGGCCCUCGCCGAAGGAACCCACCUUGAUGGGGGUGCCGGCCAUCGCCGUGGAGGAGAUCGCCAUGGUGGAGGCAGCCAUUGCUGAAGCUGAGCGUGAAAGUGUUGGACCGGUUGCUAUAGAUGCCGCUGGUGGAGUGUACCGUGGGGGGCGCACCUGGCUAAAUAGCGUCGCCGGCGAUCGGGUCCUUAUCUCGUGGAAUCUUAAGACGAGUUGCCAUUGGCUCGCCGGAGGUGAGGUGGGCGGAUGGGGUGGCUGAUGUGGCCGCGCGCUGGCCACCAGGUCUCCGCCAGUCGCCAGAUAUUCUCACCGCGCCGGGCUUUUGUUUUUGCCGUGCCCGGUGCCCCUCGCGGUGAAUUUUGCGGCGUCGCUAGGUGUUGGGCUCGCUGGCGUCCUAUUGGCCGGUUGAUCUGAUACUGGCAGAUAUUUCGGUUGGUGUGAGUGUGACGUGGCCUCCCCUCCUUCGGAUUGUUCUAGAUCAAUUGAUCCAUUUGUGGUUGUGGUUUGCCUUGACUAGUGGUAGUGGGUUCAUCAGUUCAUGACGCUCGGCUUAGGUGGGCUAGGCUCAAAAGCUCAACUCAGAAUAGUUUUGGGCUAGGCCUUGUUCUGUAAGGGGUCGGUUCGUGGGCAACGAGGACUCCAAACGGGCUGCGUGCACGGACAUCUCACCCUUGUCGCGGCGUCGUGCACCCGAGUAGGCCGGUUGUGUCGAUCUGUGGAGAGGAGACACGUCACGUUACGAUCCCCAACUUAACGCCGAUCGGAGGCCGGAGAGACCGGCUCAGCCUCGCUCCGCCGCCGCCGGCGACCAUGUCCCUGGCGGCUAUCUUCGUCUUCCUCAUCGUGUCCGCGCUGCAGCUGCUCUACCGCUACCUCGACCUCGCCAGAAAGGUCAGCGCCGCCCCCCUCCCCAUCGCGCGUUGCGCCUCCCAUCCGUCUCCUAGUCUCGAGACCUGGAUCUUCCGUGAAUUCUGAUUGGGCGGAAGAGUAGCCUACCAUCAGUUCCAUCUAUUUCGUCCAUGAAUUGAACUCUGAUUCCGAGGAACUAUUUCCCAUGGCCCUAGACAGUUUGGAUUUUGAUGCAAAUUUCUCAACCUUUGGCCGAGGCGACUGUAACUGUUGAAUGCAGGCUCGAGUCUUUGUCUUCCCGGUCUCCCUAUCUGUUAGCCUGUAGUCUGCGGUUUUGUAUUUAUUUCGCUCUAGUGUUUCCACUUGCCACUCAUGCGUUCUGUGCUUUUGUCAUCCAGAGCGGAGGACUUAGUGAUGAGCAGAUCAAAGUGCGGCUUGAAAUCAAGCAACUUCUCAAGGAGGCUGAUCAGUUGUCAACGUAGGCAAUUAACCUUCCUUUCGCUGUGACUCAGAGUUUCCCUAUUGAUCGAAGAAUGAUUUCCAACUGCAAAUUACUCCUCGCUUCUUUGCCUGUAUGUCUGCUGUAGGCCGUCCACAUUUGCACAAGCUGCUAAACUCAAGCGCCUGGCUGCUGCCAAGGAGAAGGAACUGGCAAAAAGUGAGUGCUGAACUCUCAUUGUCUUGUUCUGUAGCUAUUCGUCUAAUCGUCUUGGCCUCAUCGCUUGUAAGUUGUAAUACAGUACCGGAAGGCCCUGUAUUUUUGGAAAUGCUAGGUAGUUGCAUUCCGUAGCAUUGCUGUUGUUUGUUCGGGAGCAAAAUUUAGCUUCUUUGUUAUUUGUGCAAAAUGAGGUGAUGCUCCCAUGAUGCAUUUUAACCUUCAUAACUUUUUUUUCCUUUGCCUGCUUUACAGUGCAGGAACAUGACCUUAAAGGGAAGCAAUCCUUAUACGACAAAUACACAAAAUUUUUGUUGGUUACUAAGGUGCUCCUAUGUGAACUACCUUCUAUGUCUGGUUUUCUUGUUUUGCCAUGUGCUAUACCUUAUUAAUACUAAUCUUGUUCAUCAAAUAGGUCAUAAUUUAUGCUGUGCUCGUUCUGUGCUUUUGGAGUACUCCUGUAACUGCAGUUCCACAACAUCUUCUACAGCCCUUCGGUAUGUUGAUGCCACUCGCCAGAGUGUUCUAGAUUGAUUGUUACUCGGUAUUAGCCCCUUGGGUGAUGCACGAGUGACUAGUCUAUUUAUUUAUCAGCAGAAUAUAUCCAACAUAUUAAUAGUCUGGUUGACUUUUGCACAAUUUGAAUCUGAGAACUGCGAGAGGAAAUUUUCACACACCUAGCAACACUGACCCAAUAUGUGGAGUGACUUACUUCCCACAUUCAUUUCACAACUACUGCCAGAAUAUAAAUGAAUAUGAUUUUAUACAUAUGACAUACAAGUACUACGGUAGAAAGGCUGUGAAUUGUUGUCCGAAAAAAAGGUAACUCGUUUGUGCAAUCCAAGCGAUUAUCUAAAGGGUCAAUGCUGCAUCACUAGAUCUUUAGAUCCAUUUUCAGAUCAGCAAUAUAACUAUUUGCCUUUUGGGUUGUCGAGUAGCAACAUUCUUCGUAGAUGGACAUCCUUAUGUAUACUGUCAGGAAACAAUUCAUUUUCUUUGAUUUCUCUUAGUUUCUUACAUAUGUGUGGUUCAUGUAACCAAUAAUAAUAAUGGUGACACUUCAAAUGUUUUUACAGGAAAAAUGUUUUCCUGGAGAGGUGUUGAUACUGCCACCGGCAAUGUUGUGGUAAAUACUGAUUACUGUGGACCUUUUAAACUUUAUGGGACACUGCAAUUAAGAUAGCUUUAUUCGAUUCAUUGGUGAAAUGCUGACAUGAAUCGAAAUAACAGCAUUACGUCUGUGGAGUUAGCUUAGCUUACUUGUAUGUAUGAAAGUGGAUGGAUGAUGAUCAGAGAAACCCACUUGCUCCAAAUUUCCCUAGUAGCCCUUGAACAUGGUGUGCCCUCAGGGGCGGAUCUGGGCCCAGGGCUGGGGGCUGCAGCUCAGGCUCAGGUCCAGCCCCGAAUACCUCCAUGUAGUAUACCCCCUCAACAUCCCAUGGGAGAUGCAGCUAAGAAGGCACAGCCCCACCCGUUGAACACUAAAACAUAGCACUUCAGUCUGAGAUGCUGCACGCAAAUCUCCUGCUGUGAAUUCGUUUUUUUCGUCUUCUUCUUCGUUGGCGGCACUCUUCCAGCCCCGGACCCCAGAGGCCCAGACCUUAGAAUUCUCUCGGAAUCCCCAACCCUUCCUCGGGCUGACCCGCUGCCUGCCCUGGCUCGUGAGUCAUGACCCUUCCGGUAGCGUUUGUCUGCUUGCCACAGCAUCCACCACGUCAGGACCCAAGACGCCAACUCCAGUUGUCUGUGCCCCUCUCGGCCUCUCCCCUGCUGUGUUACAAUGCUGCUAGCAGCACAGGUAUUGGAAGAAAAAAUACAAAAUUGAACCUAACCCAUUGUGAUUGUUGAUUAUUAUUUUUUAUAAUAAUUGGUUCUAGUUGGAUUGUGGUCGGAGUGAGAAAGAUCAAAGACGUGUCCAAAAAUAGAGGGAAAAGGGCCAUGGAUUGAUGUAUGACAUUCUUUGUUACGAUUUUUGUACCCACAAAGUUGCUUUAGAUGUUGUUUCACCAUUUUUGAAUCGAUAUUAUUGUCUGUGAUCCUUAUUCAUAAAUUAUGUAUCAUUUUUUUAGUUUACCUUUAACAAUAUCUGUAAAGUCGAUGCGCCACUGAUGUGCCUUGUAUGCAAUGCUACUAGGUGGAAAUCUGCACCUUGUUUUUUUUUCCCCGCAGUCCCUGACGUGGUGGUUGCCCUGGUGCAGGUUGGAAUACUCCCGUGGCUGUUUUUGACCUCUCGGGUCAGCAAGAUGCUGUGCCAGAAACUGGGCUUCGUGCUUGUGCGUCCGUAGCGCCUUUCCAUGAGAAAGUCAGCAAGUUGCUGCACCUAAACAAGACUGCUAACUUUGUUCUUCUUCUAUAUCUUUUUAUAAUCAACUGUUUCACUUAUUGUCCACUAUAUACUCUGUCCGUUCUUUUUUAAUUGUCGUGUUUUAGUUUAAAAAUUAGCGGGCGAUAAAUAUUCGAGAACGGACUUGUAGUCAUAUAAAUUUGCUGUGCUAUGUGCUCAAGCGGAUACGUGUAUAAGUUACUAGUAGCCGUGAAUGAUGUGUAGUUUUUCCCCCUUUCCCUACCGCGGGCAUCCCUGUGGUGUUGCUAACCUGUCAAACUGCAUCCACGAGGGGUCUGAAAUUGUGCCCUUUUCCAGCGAAGCAGUGGUGCUCUUGGCAGGCCGGGGGCAUCUUUCAAUUCGAGAAAGAGGAAACCGUUGGACCAUCACGUCCGUCAGUCCAUGCCCGUGCAGCCGUGCUCCCAUGCCCCUGCUCCAGCCAAUUAGAGCUUCGGGACAAUCUCCUUUGGGCAUGUGCGUCAGCAAUGGCGGGUUAACAGUGAAAGUACCAGCAGAACACCAGGUUCUCGGUCUCUCCGAGAAAACAAUGGCACGAAGCUCGAGGCACUACGGUUUUCUCUCUCUCUUCGCCCUUGCGUGAAGAAGACCACAUGGAGAUGGAGGAGAUUCUUUUGCCCUCCGCCUCUCACUUCCUUCCGCACUAUCAUCUUCUAGAAAACCAGGCUAGGCUGGCUUCACCAAAAGCCGUUAAAGGUCUCACCUAAAAUUUUAAGGAGAUCUUAUAUACGAAUGAAAAUGGUUUAGAUAAUCUUGGACUAACUAAAAUCGAAUUUUAAUAUAUGGAUAAGGAUUUAGAUAUCCACAUGGACAUAAACAAUCUAAAUUCGAUAAAAUAUGGUAUCGACUUAUUCCAUAGAUGUGGACUAUCCAGUAAUUAAAAGUAGUUUGUUUGAGUCUUACAAUAGAAUUAUCUGACAACUUAAAGCCCAUGAUGUUUAGAAAAACUAAAAAGGUAAAGUGAAAUUUGCGGUUGUUGUCAACCAUGCUAUUUGUUAUCGGCUUUAGCACUUAACUCUUUUAGGCCACUUAAUUUGUGUUCAUUGAUAUAGGUUAUGUAUAGACACAUAGUAAAAAUUAUGUAUUUGGAAAUAUCAAAACACCUUAUAAUUUAAAAUAAAAGGAGUAUCAUGUGAAUUUUAUUUGCCAGAUUACAUAGAUCAUUAUUUAAAAAGGAUCAAUGAAUGUGAUUAAUUUGUGUUCAUUGACGUGUUAUGACUUUUUGUUCUGCUUUCAUGAUUUAUUAAUUACUAGACUUUAUGCGCAUAAACAUAUAUUAUUGACCUAUUUAAGUUUGAAACUAUUUCACUGCUCCAACUCCAUACCAUUUCCAACAUUAAAAAACUAUGUUCACACAUGCAUCUCACGCAUAAAUGGAAAAUAGCAUAUGAAGAAACCAUUAUUCAUUCCAUUCCAAUCCACUUCCAUCCCUAGUAUUAUACUUAGUCAGUGGCGGAUCCAGGAUUGAUAUAAGACAGGGGCUACUAAGCUAAUGUUAUAAAAAAAUUUAAACCAAAUAAAAAGAUCUAAUUGAUUUUUAAUAUGACACAAGAAGCAAAAUAAUUUUAUCAAAUCAAACUAUAAAUACCUAGCAGGCUAGCACAAGGUUGACGAUUCAAAGCAAAACAAACAGGAGCAGGCAGUAGCACACGGUUGUUUUCACCAAAUCACCUUCACUGGUUCAGAGAGUCUGGCUGGCGUUAGGUUCAGCAACAGGCAGCAGCGUCCAGCCGCCCAACUGCAUCGUGUAUUCAGCGCUCAGCCGUCCAGCAAAUCUGCAAAAGCAAAACAGAUUCAGUCACCGAUUAGAGCAGCAAGCAGGAGCUGGGUCUGGCGGGGGGCCGAGGGCGAGCUGCUGACGGACGGGAGGACGAACACGGGCCGGUGCGACGGUGCCGACGUGCUGCCGUGGGCUCGUGUCGCGCCUCGCGACCACGCGACGAAGAGGCGGAGAGACGUGUCGCGCCAGCGAGGCCGCGAUAGCGUGUUCGUGAUAGAGCGCCGCCGCGCCAGCCGCCGGGUGCCAUUGCCGACGAUGGACGGCGCUAGUCAUCGAGGUGUCGCAGUGGGCAGGGGUCCGAGCGAUGGCUAGACCAUAGCCGCGAUCGGGAGAGGCUAGGAGCGGCGAGCAGGUGAUGUCGUGAUGGAGCUAAGCCGCUUGAGCGUGACCUAUUUUUCCUGGACUUCGUGGGCCUAUUCGCUAGAACUACUGGGCCGCGACCGGGGCUACAGCCCGGGCAGCCCAGGACGUGGAUCCGCCCCUGUACUUAGUUGUUGAUGUGGAUUACAAUGAACAUAUUGGUAUGAGCUAAAUCACUAGCUAUAGGUAUGAACGAUAGUAUAAGAAGUGACAUACUACUAGGGGUAGUAGGAGGGCCAUAAAUAAAUGUUAGUUUAAAAAUAAAUAGAAAUAUGAUCUAAUCCUAUUUCGAUCUGAUUUUUAAAUCUAAUAAUAUAAAAUUUAGAGUCUAUUGUCACUCAUACAUACGAUAUUGGGGGAUGAGGAAGAAAGGUGUGGUGGGGAAUUAGAAAUUUUUCUUAGCUCUGGUAACGUGUUGAAGUGACACAGAACAAGUUCCUAUAGAUGUACUCAAUCACUCGUGUAUAUAUAAAUGCACAAGAAAAUAAUUUGCAUGGCGGGAACAAGCGCUGCCAACGAAAUCAUAAGCCUUUAUAUGAUAAGUAACAACACUACCAAUAUUCGAGAGUGUGGCCCUUUCGUAUUAUAUAUGUAUAGUAUUUUAUUUUUAACAUAUUUUUUAUUAUUAAUAUAUAUAAUCUCCAGUCUUUAAUGGAGAUUCUUAUGGCAUCAGAGGCCUAGUAUCUCGAUCUGUAGUGAUAUAUAUGCUGCAUACUAAGGUCAUUGGUGGUACGGUGCACGGAUUCAUGUUGCCACGCUCUGAUCACUCUUGCUAUACCAGGGACGCUACAACAGCUCGGUACACUACGCGGUUUCAGCCGCCCCCGCAAACAUCGGUCAGACGGUCACAUUAGUGAAGUUACAUUACAGACUACUCGUUAUGGUUCGUCAACUUAUUCGACUCGUAAUUAGUUCGACUUAGUUUAUUUUAUUUUAUUUAUGAGAUGAGCUAACAUCUCAAAUCGGGUUGUUAAAAAUACAGCUCGAGUAAAACUUGAGCCAACUCAUGUACUCAAAUAAACUAACAUUUGUUAGUAGAGAUGUUCAGAGAGAAAAUGUUCCGAAGAAGGACAAGAAGUAGGUACUAUUAGCCAUAUUAGUGGCUACUUUAUUUUUUUGGGGACUCUAGUGUUUAAAAUUCCCUAUAUUAAGCUCCUUUGUGUUGCAUGCCAUUUAUGUAUAAACUGAUGAACAUGUUACAUGUAUGUGGAUAUAGUCUGCGAAUUAAAUUGAUGAUUAAUAAUAUGUGUGUUAAUUGAUUUGUAUAACUAUAUUUAUAUGUUAAACUGAUGAACAUAUAUAUUGUGUAAGUACUUGUGUUGAAUGAACUUGAUGAAUUAUGUUAAUUUGGUGUUGGAUUAACUUGACUUGUGAAAAUAUGAACAUUAUUACACUUUAUAUUGUGAAAAUAGUUUAGAAUUUAAAAGCAAAUGAUUGCAUCGUCCUAAAAUAUCUCAAGGAAUGGCUUAAAGAGAUCACAAAUAACUUUUAUUGAAUCAUUUUCAUGUGGAUAAUCAUCACCGAGCCGGUUACCUAGUUCGUUCGAUAUCAAGCCGUAACUACUACACAAAACACAAGUUACACAACCCCGGCUCCCGCUGGCGCACACGCUCCUCACGUGCCGCACCCGAAACGUCCCAAGAAAAAAGGGAGAAAACUCACCGAAAAGUCUACCCACCUGGGCCCUGGCCACCUCCCCCCUGCUCGCUCACGACCCCCAACACGCGAGUACGCGACGACGCCCCUCACAAAAACAGGGGCCAAAAAGGAUAAAAAAAAGUGGGGAAAAGAACGCCGGGAAUGGGCAAGCAGCAGCAGGCGCCACCGGCGCGGCGGUCCCCGGCGAUGUCGGCGCCUCCGCCGCCGAAGCGCCGGAAGAAGAAGGGCCGCCCGUCCCUGCUCGACCUCCAGAAGCGGAGCCUCCGCCUCGAGCAGCAGCAGCUACCCCAGGGGCGCCGCUCCAACCGCAGGAGCGCCGGCUCCGCGGACGAGGACGACGAUGGGCCCGCCUCCGGCUCCGGCCGCCGCGAGAAGAAGCUGCGCCUCGUCAUGGGCCUCCACGACGGAUCAGCCAAGGUGGGCGCCCCUCUCCCCACUCCCUCGAUCUGAGCCGAUUCCGACCCAAUUCUGUCGAUCCCGGGCGGAAUUUGCCUAAUUUGGGCGCCCUGGCCUGGGUCGGCGUACGGAUCUGCGCAGCCGCACGCCGCCCGAGGAAAUUUCAUUGCUAUUUUUGGUAUGAAAAGGGCGCGUUUAUUUAUUUAUCUCCGUAGUAAGGGCCUCAGUGGUCAACUCCGCUCCGCUCUGCACAGUCUGGGUGAUAUAUAAUCCUAAACCCUCGCGUAGUAUCUUCGGCCUGUGGUGGCAAUAAUUGGACAAUUUUUUUUUAAAACGCCGCGUCUCCGAGCUAAGGCGUCCGCUUUUCGGGUUUGGUUUUUGUCAGGUUCUCGCGCCAAAAUUCCGCUGCAUUUCGCGCUCUCCUUAGAUCUCUGUACUUGGUAACUGGGCCUGGUAAACGAAAGCUUACCCCGCCUUUUCUGCUGCUUUUUUUCUACUCCGGGGAGGUUUCCGAUGCUUGUAAAUAUUUUUAAUUUCUAUAUGUUCUGUUUUUAAAUUUCUUUUUUUAUCUUAACCGCUGCUGCCGCAGGGAGAAAAGAUGAGGAAAGCGACGGAUGGGCGUGAAGGUUGGUGCUCCUUGGUCUGUGGCAUUUACUCUUCAGAUUUCCACAGGGGAAAAAAUAUACCUGGAUAAAUGUGCACGAAGAUGCCAUUUUUAAUUCUGUUACUGUUGGAGGCAUUCCAAUUUUCUCAUCUUUAAUCACUGCUCGUGCCUCUGUUUGCCCUGUGCUUAUGGAUUGGAUUUGUUCAUUCGACAGAGCCGUCAGAUUCCGGGCCCACAACACCUUUACCGAACAAAAAGUUGUUGCUCUUCAUCCUCGACAGGCUACAGAAGUGAGUUGCUGUGCUCGUUGCUUGUUCUUCCUUCAGCUUCUCAUUCUCAGCUCCAGGACUUCUGAUCUUUGUGUGUCCUGGUUUCUUGCAGGAAGGAUACGUAUGGUGUAUUUUCAGAGCCUGUUGAUCCUGAAGAGGUUUGUUUGCUUUAGAAAUGACGACGCUACAUGUUUGUUUUCUUUGGUUUGAUUAUCAAAACCACUGAUUUACCUGUUCAUGUCCAAUUAUUGCCAGCUACCUGACUAUCAUGACAUUAUAAAGCAUCCAAUGGAUUUUUCGACAAUAAGAAAGAAGCUCGAUAAGGAGGCCUAUUUCAACUUGGAGCAAUUUGAGGUGAGUUAGAGGAUUUGUUUAGAUUGAUAUUUUUAUUGGAUUUUCCUUCAAUCAGCCAGCAAAUUCUGUCUGUUUGCUUGGUAAUAGCCUGUAAUAAGCUGGUGUGCUUUAUUCAAAGAUUGGUUAGAAACUGUUUGUACCGUUUGGCUUUGGGGCCUCUUGCUUUACGCUUGUAUCCUGAUUGGCUUUGGGAGCAGAUGUUUACUCUCGUCGACAUCUGGGUUUUCCUGUUUAGUAUUGUUUCUGAUGGCAUUCCAUUGUACUGAAUCUCCAGACCUGAUUUUUAUAGGCAAUAUAAUCACUUUCAAGGUUGGCAGAACAUAUAUUUUUGUCAUGUAAAUUCCCUUAACAAUUAAUUUAGAAUGUACAUUUUAGAUCAAGUUUAGUCUGGUAAUAUUCUUGUUUGAGUGAAGCACUUACGCCUAGGAUCUAUCUUAUUCGUUCCAUAACAGCACUUUUACCAGCAAAAAGUUUGUCCAACAGACCAACACUAUCUUUGCAUUCGAUGACCUAUCCAAGAUUGUUUCUACUGAGUUGCUCUACUUAGGCAUGUAAACCCAGUAACUUAAAGGGAACACCUGUUUCUUGUUCGAGAUUCUCCGUUGUUUUUCGACAGUUCAAGCACUGAGAUUAACAUCUGAUAUAGACUGAGACAGAACUGUGCUAGGUUAGCAGACAACCUAUUAACUUCCUGUUUGCCUUUUGCGAUUGUGUUAUGGACCCUAACUUUUCACGGGCAUGAUUUCUCUGAUUUUUGCUUUUCAACUAUCUGGAUGAGUUUAGAUUAUAUAAUACCUAUAUAGUUAUAUAUUUAUUCUGCUGAUGUGCCAAGAAAAAACUCAGGCAUCCCAUGUCAUGUUUGAUGCAAUAUAAGAUUGCAAACUUAACAGCAUGAUCGAUGCAGAAGAUUUUACACAUUAGAAACUUGCUAAGAGAACACUUAUAUAUGCCAUUUGGCCUCGUAGCUGGGAUAUCAAUGUUCUCUUGCAAGUUUACACACUAGAAACUUGCUAAGAGAACACUAAUAUAUGGUUCCAUACAUACAACUAGGCAGGAAAGUGCAGUAUUCUGUUUGAAAAUAUAUGAGCACAAGAAGUGCACAUUAUACAAUGUAAUGUUGACAGUAAUUUUUUUAUUAUGGUAAAGAUGAUCAGCACGCUGUUAGAAAAUAUAAAAUGGCCUUAUCUCGUUAGGCGAGAUGCCUUGAUUCAUUUUUAGAAGUUCAUGACAAGAUGGGUAUGGGCUCGGACACCAUAUAUUGUGUUAAGUUCAAAUGCCACCUAGGGAUUUAAAGUUCUAGAUGUGCAAAAAGUUAUACAAGCACUAUGCUUCCUGCUGCCUAUGAUAGGAUGCUUUCAAUUGAGAAAGCUCAUUAUUUGAAUAAAGGAACACUCUAAAUAGCAUACGUUCUUCCCUUUUUGCAAGUAAUUCAUGCUCAGAAAAAAAAUCAAGAGCCCAUGUGCCUUGUUUAUGCCAGUUCAUGUUGGCAAAUCGUAUUCAAGCUGUACCUCAGUUGCUAAUUCAUUAGGCAUUAUGAAGUGUGUUGGACCUCAGUUCGAAUUAUGUGUUACUUGAAAGAGGAGGCAUGCAUUUGGUAAAAUGCUAUGAUUUCAAACUUUGUAAUGUCUGAACAGGACACUAUGCUUUAGGUUACCAUUUUGCAGCUUUUAGCUAAUGGAUUUAGUUAUAAUGCUGACUUGCGCGAAAGGGCCUCUAGCUGAGUUGGUUAGGUGGUCUAAGUAGCACAUUCAGGUCCUGGGUUUGACUCCCCGUGGGAGAGAAUUUUAGGCUGUGGUUAAAAAAAAUUCCCUCGUCUAUCCCACGCCAAAGCACAGGUCUAAGGCUCAGCCCCGGUCGCGGUCGUUCUCACAUGGGCUUCGAUGCCGCUGUGUAUGGGUGGGGCAGGGGUUCGGGGGUUUUCUCGACCUAUAUGAGAAGGUCUUCUUAAUACAAUACUCGGGGGCUGUCUUACCUCCUGCAGGUCGAGUUUUUUUUUUAUAAUGCUGACUUGCUACUUGAUAAGUAUCCAAUGUGUAUAUACUGCUGUAACGUCAUGGAUUUUCUAACCUGUAAUUUCGCCACCCAUUUGACUGUUGCAUGGAACAUCAUUAAAGCAAGCCACUUUUAUCCCAUAAUCUUCUGUGCUCAGACAUCUUUGCUGGUCAUCUCUGAAGAAUGAAGUUGGUAAUCAGUGCACAUUUGAGUACUGGUGUGUCACUGUUUAACCAAAUGUGCAUACUGCAUCAUGUGUAUUAUCAGUGCUUGUUGAAAGCAUAACGGCUUAUUCCCGCAGUCAUGCUAGAAGAAUGCCACAUUUCUGGAACGAAUAUGAAUAUUUGGUAUUGUUUUUAUCAUUCCUGCAGUUCUGCUGCAAAGUACUAUUUCUUUCCUGGCCUCAGAAUGCUACUGAUGUUUUAUCAAGCUCAUUCAACUUGACUGAAACUUCAAUUUACAGGAUGAUGUGUUCCUGAUAACCUCCAACGCGAUGUGUUACAAUUCACCAGAUACAAUAUACUAUCGACAGGUCAAACAUUAAGCUUACAUGUUAUGAUCUUUGAAUGUAAUUAUGAAGUAUGGUGCAUUUAACAUCCAUAUGCUAUGCAUAACAGGCACGAGGUAUUCAAGAGAUUGCUAAAAAGGAUUUUGAGAAUCUUAGGCAAGAUAGUGAUGCCAGUGAACCAGAACCGGAACCAGAACGAGAACCCAAGCCGGAGCCCGAACCAGAAGAACCAAAGCCACAGCCUCGCCGGGGCAGGCCUCCAAACAAGAAUAAUGCCAAACAGAAAGUUGGGAAGCCACCAGCAGAACGUGCCACUGCAGACUUUUCUGGUGCAACACUUGCUACUGCGGCAAAUAUUGGACGGCAUGCACAGGCAGAUGUUGAUCUGUCACGAAGAGUAAUGGAUAAAGCGAUGAUUGCGGAUGUGUUGAGAGCUUCUUUUGCCAACCUAAGGAAUGAGCACAACUGGUCUGGUGAGCGGAAGUUUGAAAGACUUGAAGCUUACUCAGGUUUUAGCUUAUCUUUUUUUUCUUGUUCUUUCAAAAGGUGUCUUUUGAAGGGUAAACAUUUAAUGAGUACUAACUGAACAAAAGGACUAGGCAUCCAAUCUGGCUAACUCAAAUUUCUUUUAACCUUCGUUGUGGUCGCUCUCUUUUUCUAGGUUAUGGGGGUACAUGGUCUGCAAAAACGGGGAAGAGGCCGAUUCUGAUGGAAGAUAGUCGCCGGAGCACAUAUUAUGAGACUCAACCAUCCAGUUCAAUAUAUGAGCUGCCGGUAUCGUCCUCCUACAAUGGGACCGAGAAGCUGCUAGUACCAGUUGAGUGUCCAAUCCAAAAUGUCCUAUAAGUAACUGACGAUUUACUAAUAUAAUUUCAGUCUCCUAUUAACAUUAGAGAACAGAAAGACACGAUCCUCCACACUUUAACACAAUAUAUGUAUAUUUUUUUAUCAGGUUGGGGUUCAGUUACCGCAGUCCUAUUCCCACAGCCUGGCACGUUUUGCUGCACAACUUGGCCCUGUUGGCUGGGAAAUUGCGUCAAGACGACUUGAACGGAGCCUUGCUCCUGGAACAAAGUUUGGUCGUGGCUGGGUAGGAGAUGGUGAAACGCCGCCGAACCCAUUUCAGACACCUGUACUCGCUGCAUUUUCAGAAACAAUGGCACCACCGAGCAGUAUAGCAGCAUCAGGUGAGCAGCCAUCUAUGAACGCGCCCCCCGCCACAGAGGCCUGUGCUGGCAGCAUAAGCCAUCGGGUGGGAUCUCAGCCAUGUGCUUCUAUCAGCACAGUGCAGACGAUAAAUUCCGAAGCAUUAGCAAGCCAGCAAUGCGGAUCCGUACCACAGGUUUCUAUAAACCGAGGCGAACGUGCUGUUGAGAUGAAGGGCAGCACUAAUAAUCUUCACGGGCACCCGGCCAUGCCGCAAACUAUGAAUGGUUUCAAUGCCGUUCCAGGUGCUAAACCAGACUAUAUCUUAACUACACUUGUGUGCUUAAUGUUCCAUUAAUCUCAUGCCCACUUUAGUCCAAAGUUCAUGACCCUUCAAAGGUUUCUGCCUUUUUCAGGACGGGUGCUGUUCCCACCUGCGGCUCAACUGGUGGUGAGUCAGAUGCAGACACAUACGGCUGAUUGAGUAACAAGUAGCCAUUGGAUCAACAUUGUCAACAUGGCAAUUGAACAUUGCCCGCUUCCAUUCAUCAGUCGCGGUCACCAAGCGACGACGGCCUUAAGCCGCACCCUGCCAGUGGCUUGGCGCCCACCACAUUGGGGGUGUCUGGUCGCUGUUGAAUCGUCGCGCCUCAACCUGGCGCUGCAACUGUGAAUCUGUUGUGUAAUUGCGUAAGUAGGAAUUAGGAUGAUAACGUGCAUAGAUGUGUUGGGCGGAUGGUGUAACAGCGGUGAGUUGCAGUUUGGAGAUUUAGCGAUUCUGAAUGUGUAGUAGAAAAACCACAGGGGAAACGAAACAACAUCUGUAUAGACUAUUCAGGAUCAGGAGGUUUUUUUAGCGUUUCGGCGACUAGCAACAGGUGCGAUCGAGCAUGAAAUCGUGCGAACCAGAUUGUCUGUUGCCGGUAUUGUUUCUAUAUACAUCAAUCUGACGGUGUUCUGGGUUGCAGGUACCACAGUCCACAGUGUAGGUAAGAAGUAGAAUCAUGCGGCAACAACAUGAAUGCCCUGUUCCAAUCUCGCGAGAUAAACUUUAGCAGCUUUUUUAGUUACUUUUAGUCACUUGUAAUCUAAACAGGAAAGCUAAUGGUGGUAAUUGAAGCUAAACUUUAGCACUUCAAUUCAUAUAGCUAAAAUUUAGCAGAAAGCUAAAGUUUAUCCCGUGAAAUUGAAACGGGGCCGAAGUAGAAUCCGCCUCAUCCUAAGAGUCCUUGUAGGAUCCUCAUCCUCACUUCUGUACCUUAAGGCGAGGAGUUGAAUAAUGAAUAUCCUAUAAAAAUUGUGCACAACUUACAGUUAUAACUAGAGUCAAGAUAUUUAUAUAUGCGGAAGCAAUUACUUUCUCUAGUUUUUCUCUCGACUAUCUCUCUGAACAAAACAAACAAGGAAGCAAUUACUUUCUCUAGUUUUCUCUCUCGACUAUCUCUCUGAACAAAACAAACUAGUAGCUUGUGAAAGAUAUGUAUAAAUGCGACAAACUAUUUUCUAAAUAAGAGAAGAAUUAAACUAAAGUUACUCUAGUUUUUUCUCUCGACUAUCUCUCUGAACAAAACAAACUAGUAGCUUGUGAAAGAUAUGUAUAAAUGCGACAAACUAUUUUCUAAAUAAGAGAAGAAUUAAACUAAAGUUACAUAACAAAUAGAUGAACAAGUAACAAGUAAAGAUGAUUGCAAGAAUUGUUUGGAGUGCAAACCAUAAGAAACAAGAGAUGAUAUAAUAUUUAUCCCUAAGGUUCAAUUGCUUGCGAGCAACCUACGUCCUAGUUGUGGCAAGUCUAAAUUGGAUGAUCCACGAGCUAAUUGGCGUAACGCACAAGCCCAUAAAGGGCAUCAUAAGACACACUAGGGAGAUAUUCCAACAAGACACUAUUUCACUAUACUAGUCAGAUGCCCGUGCAUUGCUAUAGUUCUAUAUAUCACACAGUUAGACUUUGUUUCAAUAAAACAUAAAAAUAUAUGUGUUUGGUUGGUUAGGUGGGUGUGAAAGUGGAGGCAACAACCAAGGUUCAACUACCCAUGGUCUUAAGAACUGUGAAAAUUGGUGUUUUAUAUAGUAGAACUAGUAGAUAUUGUAGUUGCUCUUCACGAAUCUAUGAGGGAAAUGAGCACAAGAGCCUACUCAAUGAACCCAACAAUCUCCAAGCGAUCUAGGAUGACAAUCACCAAGAGUAACAAUAGUAGAACCAUCCCAACCUAUUCUACCAGUAUCACAAGAUGCAUGAACACUAUGCAAUGCACUAGGAGAGCUCCAACCUCACCCAAAUGAUGAACUAUGUGUUUCAAGGGGGUGGAGUGUGUUUCUUAAUACUCAAGAUAGAGAUGUCAAUGGGGACCCGAUACCCGAUAACCCAUGGGGAAUUCCCCUAUUAGGGUAUUGGUAUGGGACAAAAAUUAUCCCCAUGGGUAUGGAUAUGGGACAAAAUCUCCACCCAUUGGGUAAACGGGUAUGGGUUUGGGAAGCAAUAAUCCGAACCCGAUUACCCAUGGGUAUUUCAUACGCGUACACCUGUCCUGUUUGUAUGAAUGAGUUGAGGCUGAGUUGGCCAUCAAACCCGGCAGACUCCAUUUCUUAUAUUGGUCCCAAGUACUGAUUUCUUUUCUGAUGGAUGGAUGAAUGGAUAAUGGUUCAUGGAUGAGUGCUUGCCAAUGUGGUGAUAUAUGAAAUCUGGAUAGUUUGUGCUAGAUGUUAGUACCUAGUUAUUCCUUAAUUGGGGAUGUGGAUCCAUUGGGGACCCGAAACCCGAAUGGGGAUGGGUAUGGGAUGAGUUUUGUACCCAUGAUGGGUACGGGUAUGGGUAUGGGGAUGUAUCAAACAUGAUGGGGAUGGGUCUGGGAUGCUAUAACCCGAUGGGGAAUUACCCAUUGACAUCUCUAACUCAAGAUGUGUAUGCAAGUGUUGGAGGUCAUGGGAUACUAGCCAAGGCCAGUUAAGGGGUGUAUUUAUAGCCCCUCAAAAAAAUCUAACCAUUACAUAUAAAAAUACUGAAAUCAGGGGUACCAGACAUGUCAGGAGCUUAUCAAGGUGUUGCACCAGACACGUCAGUGCCCUUCUAACGGCUAUACACUACUCCCUCCGGUGUACUAUUAGUUGUCAUUUAGGACAAUGGCACGGUCUUCAAAAUAUAACUUUGACCAAUGUUUUUUUGUUAAAAUACAACUAACCUUUUAAUACAUUUAUACUUUUAUAAACGUACUUGUUAAGACAAAUUGGUGCAUAUAAACAUUAUGUUUCAAAACUACAUAAUGAAAUAAUUAUUUGUAGUCAAAAUUUUAUAAGUUUGACUAAACAUUUUCCAAGAUGACAACUAAUAGUACACCAGAGGGAGUAGUCAUUAAUCCUAUCAGACAUCUAAUGAGUUAUAGGCUAAAUUGUGAGUUUUACAAGCUCUCUGAGUGUCCUGCCCAGUGUGGUACCCGGUGCUACACCAGACAUAUCCAAUGAGUUAUAGAGCUAUUAUGCUUGGUUAAAUGCUCACUAAGUUACUAGUCUGGUGGGGCAACCGGUGCCUCACCAAACACUAUGGUGCCAAACCAAAAGUUGUGUACUAAAUCUAUGCCAUUCUCUUAUUUGGUGUCGUGUUCGGUACCUCACUAGACAAGUACGAUGUUCUCUAAAAAUCUGCACUUAGUAUGUUUUCUUCUCUAUUUUCAAGCGAGCUAACUCUUAAAUGUUUUUUGUCAAACAUGUUAGAGACUAGUUAUAUUUUCCAAAGUGUUUUCAAUAAACCUUUUCACUUGCUCACACUUGUGUCACUUAGUCCUAUAUGCAAUGCAUAUAAAUCCAAACUUGGUGGGUACUAGACGAUUGAUUUGUCCAAUUAAAUUUCUCUCUUAAUAGUAUGACCAUCUAUCUAAAAUCCGAUCACACACUCUAUUGUGUCUUGUCCAGUAAAACAAAAUGAAUUAGCUUAUAAAUUUGUCUUGAGCUCUUGUAUUUUGAUUUUCUCCUCCCUCUUUCCAUGUUGACUAUUUGUUAAUCUUUGUGGACAUCACCAUCCUUCUUAUGGUUUCCCACCUUGCUCGACCUUUAGACUUUAACCUAUCUCAUUCACAACACUUAGAGUAGAUAUUACUACACUAGUUUCUCAAUUACGAAAACCAUAUUUGGAGCUUUCACCAUGAAGCAUGGUGACGGCGCGUCGAAGAGAUAAGGCUUGUUGAUGGUGAUGCUUUUGAGUGCUUUCUUAUUUGUGCUCUUUAUUUUACCAUCUUCACUAUCACUUGAUGAAGCAUCGAAAUCCCACUCAAUACAAUAAGUAUGGCCCUUCUUGAAAGUCAUUGAUUUGCCUUCUUUACCUUUGCUUUUUUUUUCUUUCUUUUCACCAUCAUUAUUAUUGUGAGGAAAUUUAGCUAUUAGAUUAUCAUUCAUACUACACGUAUAACAUCUCCUUUGUUACUGUGUUUUGGAUGAUGACCUCCUCCUUCUCCUUCUUGCACCAUAUCCCUUCUUCAUGAAUUUCCCGAAGUAGUCCAUUUCCUCACCAUCUUCAUUGCUUGAGCUUGUGCACUCAUCACCAGUAGAUUCAUCAUUGUUUUUCCUUCCCUUACUAUUGGAUUAUGUGGUGACUUUGAAUGCCACAAUCUCCUUCUCAUCUUCUUGAUCAACCCCAUCCCUUUCCACAUGGUAUGUGUCUUGUGUCAUCACAUCACAUAGUAUUUGGGUAAGAGUGUUAUUUUUUAAUCUGCCUCUCAUAAUAAUUGUUACCAAUGUGUCAAACCUUGGUGAGAGGCACCUCAAGAACCGAUGAAAGAAGUCCUCAUCACUCACUUUGUUACCCAAGUUUCUUAGCUCAUUUAUUAUGACAUUGAGUCUAUGAAACAUUUUUCAAGAUGCUUUCUCCUUGAAUUUUGAACCUUUCCAACUUAUAUUUGAGGAUGUAAAAUUUUGCUUCAUUGAACGUCGGUGUUCCAUCAUAUGAAUAUUCCAAUCUCUUCCACACCUUAUAUGCGAAAUCAAGGUCCUUUACUUGCUCAAACACCUUUAGAUCAAUUGCAUCAUAGAACACAUUGAGAGAAUAUAAUUGAAUUGUAAAUUUUUCCCCUUCUCUAGGAGUUGGUUUAUUCGUAUCUAGUAUGACGAAUUAUUUCUUCACUACAUUCCAAACUCUUGUUAAUUGAUCUCAAAUGUGCACAUAUCUUCCUUUUUCAUAAUUAAUUUGUUCCAUCAAAUGAGGUGGCUUAUUAUAUUAUUGAUUUAUGCCAUCAUAUGAAUCCUUAAUAUAAUGAUGAUCGCGACUUCGAUACCACUUGAUAGGAUCUAGAUGGAUACGAUACAAGAACUAUCUGCAAUGUACUAGGAGUUCUCCAAUCUCAUCUAAAUGGUUAUUUAAAGGAUGCAAGAGAGUAGAGUGUGUUUCAUAGCUCUCAAGAGGUGUACACAAGUAAAUGAGGUUAUGAGAAGUUUCUAAGGACAACUGUGGUAGUUGUCUAAAAAUCUAUCGGCGCAAACUCUUGAAAUAUAAUGUGUGUUUGUGAAUAUAGGUAUGUAUUUGUCAUUUUCUCUAUUUUAUAAAGCAUUACUUUUCACAGUUUCCACCUUCAUCACGCCCCCUACAUUUAAAUAGUAGAAAAUCUAAAAUUAUAUACAAUUAAGGAUUCAAACCAUGAUUGUUGGCUCUAAGCCCGUAUUCACAUCCACCUAACCAACAAAAUAUACAUACAUUUGUGUUUUAUAUUUCAUACUCAAACAUAAAUAGAAAUCAUAGCAACGUACAUACACUUUGCUAGUGUUUUUAAAUAAACUGAAAAAACUUUAGGUCAUGUUUGUUUUCUUUUAGAAUUAUAUAAUACAACUUAUGGAUUAUGUAAACACCUAAUGACCUAAUUAUAGAUUAUUAUAAUCUAGAUAUCUAGAUUAUAUAAGCAAUCUAAUAAUUUAUGAUGUUUAUUUAUCUUUUAACUUAUUUAAGUUGGAUUAUAUAAUUUAGAGGUUAAAUACUUCGUUUACAAUGGACCGAAUUAUCUACCAAGUAGAGAGAAAAAUUCAAAAGAGAGAGAAAAGCAACCUAUGGUUCACCGCUCCCCUAUUUGACAGCUCGCGAGUCGAGUCAGCCGGCCGACGACAGGGAGCCUCGCCUCCGGCGCCGCGGCGGCGAUCACCCAAUUCCACCCCCACUGCCUUCUCCUAUCUCCCCACACUACCGCUCUGUUUCCUCCACCAUCCGCUUGCGUCCACGCGCUCUCUCGUUAAGCCAUCGCUUGCGUCAACGGCCGCGCCCUCUAGUCGUUCGACGAAACGCCACCGAGCCACUGACGCGUCCGCUGCACGCGUAGUCGCGCUUCCAUCUUGCUCCGCCGCCCCGCAGCUCCUAGCCGGAGGGAGGCCACCGAUCCAUGUCUGUCGCCAAGCGCUACGUGCUGCGCCUCUUCAUCUCGCUCAAGUACGUGACGGCGAACGUGGUGGACCGGCAGAGCGGUCGCAUCGUGACGACCGCCUCGACCGCGGAGCGGCCCCUGCGAGACGGGCUGGAGUGCGGCCGCGCCUGCAACGCAAAGGCGGCGGCAGCCGUCGGCGAGGUGCUCGCCAUGCGCCUCAAGGUGGACGGCCUCGCGCGGGAGCCCAUAUACGCCAACGCGGAGAAAGAGGUCGCGAAGAAAGGGUUCAAGAACCAGACCAAGGUCUGGGCCAUCCUCAAUGCGUUGCGCAGUCACGGGGUCAACCUCCACAUCGACGACGAUGGCGACCACAGGCCGCACGUCUGAAACAACCAUAAGUUCAGGAGUUUGCUCCUCCAACUAACAAAAGUAUGAGCUUUGAGCAUGUUGAUUGUUGCGUGCUGUUUUAUGUUGCUUCAGUAACCUUGCCCUUGACUCUCAUUUAAUUGAACACUAUGACUUUCUGUGUGUAGCAAUAUCACUGCUGGAUCUACUACUUCGAUAUCAUAUAAGUCAUGUAUAACCCUAAGACCAUGAAUCGAUUUUCAAAGUAUAAUAUGAUACAACUCUAAGCUCUUAGAUCAUAAGUAUAGUUAAGAGACAAUAUAUAUAGAGAAUCGUGUAGAGACAGGUUAUUGGCGAAGAGCUCAUCUUUUUGUAUUUUUUUCAAAUAGUCCCAUAGAGACUCCUCAAGGGACUCCAUAAUAAUUGAGAUUGUACAUGCCCUAACAAUUGUCACAAAAAGGAGGAUUGAACCAGUUAUUCACAAAAAAUAUCACGCAGGAUAAUUUCUCUACUGGGAAGGAAAUUGACGCCCCAUGGUGCUUUGGUAAAUUGGUAGUGAAAAGCGGUGCACAUGUUUGAUACAUGCAAAAGACCUAAUGCCUGAUAACUUUUACCUGGUAGCAAAACACAAUUAAAUUACAGAGCACCUUCACAAAACAUGGUGCUACGGCAGUAACUACCAAAUUCCUCACAAAUAGAUUUGCUGGCAUAAUUUUACUGACCAAGUGCCUUUAGGUUCAUGUAUGCUUUGAGCUGAUUCAAAGCACUAUCCAACAAAACCUUCUUACUGCCAUUGAUAACUCUCACUGACUGUUUGAGCUCGCUCUUGGCUGCAAUCAGCUCGUUUUGCAGCCCCUUGAUCUUCAUCUCAUCCCUGAUCUUCUCGAGGCCCCUGAUCUUCUCCUCGAUGACAUGUAGGCUCUCAUGGUCUGGUUGAACUCCUGAUGGUACCAAAGCCCAGGGCAUGUCAUCUUGUAAUGGUGGAGCAGAGGGCGUAGGGUGCCCACCUUGUGAACUGCUUCCGAGAACCAAUAUCAUUUUCUGCAAGCAAGUAGAGGUGUCAGUUUCAGUAUUGGAAAACAUUCUGAAUGAGGAAUCCUGGACUGUUAGACAUAGUUAACUGUUAAGUAUCGAUGUCUGUCAUGCGUCUUAGUCAGGUUUCGACAUGGUGUUGCAGCCUAACACCUUCUACUUCUGAUAAUGUGCUUUGAUUUGUGCCAAAGCACGCUUCUUCUUUUCAGCACACUGUGCACGGCAUCGUCCAAUGGAUAUCAAAGUAAUCAUACUGAAAGAUAUUCAUCUAGAAAAUUGACAUCAUAUUGCCAUUCAUUCUACUCUAUUAGCGUACAGCAAAUACCUGUUUAUGGUCCUCAAUUGGAGCAUCCGGGUACACAAUUUUGACACUUUUCUUCGUCUUCCUCUUCAGCCAGCGGCAAAUCUCUGUUGAGUUCACCUUUCCAACCACCGUGACAAUCCCGCUAUUAACAUCCCCCACCGAAGUUUCAACUCCUGUGAUGUCACAAAGAAAAAUCCUUAUCGUUAUUUGCAGAAUAUAUAUAGCAAGAGAGAAGGGGAAAAAAUAUAGGAGAUGAACAGCCGGUAAAGCUGUACCACCGAAACUUCCAAUGGACACCAUGGCCUUCUCCACCUUCCUGACACAGCCAAUGCAGCGGCAGCGCAUCUCAACCUGGAACCUGAAUCGCCUGGGCGCCUCCUGUGAAUGGAAGAACCAAAUCCAUCUGUCACUCCUGGUGAUGGCGAGAAAAGGAUCUGCAGAGGAAUAAGAAGGCGAAGCCCUCACUGUCCCCAUGGUAGAAUCUUGAGCUGCUUCUGUGACGCUGUUUGCCGGCGGAAGCGAUCAGAGUCUAGAGGCUGGAUGUGGCAAGGCACUCUCGCUUAAAUAGGCCUGACUGGUGCGUAGUUAAUGGGAGGGAGCGGAGUUCCAUGCAGUUUUGUGAAACAGAGGAGCCACCGGAUUGCAUGCUUGAUUGACUGACCUGAUCGUUCAUUCACAGUUUCACACUAGCUGCUGUUUCAUUCAGUCCUUUCCUGUUGCAUUUUUUUUAUCGAGACGAGCACGGCUAAACGUAAUACUAAUACAAUACUCAAAGUCGAAACCCAUUAACCCAAUAGAGAAGGGUGCCAUAGAGAAGAUCGCAAAGGGGAUUUCGUGCAGGGUGGGAGGAAGAAGAUGGGUAGAAAAGUAAAAGGCUAGAAGGCUGCGAGUUUGCCUGAAAAAGAGCAAGAUCUUGCGUAGAGCCAUAUUUAAGGCACGUUUGGUUCGUUACCUCAAUUACCACAGUUAUUCAAUUCGAACGACUAACCUUAGGCAAAAUGUGACACAUUUAGCCACAAACCAAACAUGCCCUUAAAUUUCUCUCUCUCUCUCUCACUGUCCACCAAGCACAAAAAUUGAAGCAUCACACGACCUACAUAAAAAGGUGAGGUCUGCGACAUGGAGGGUGCACGAGACUAACCGCAGAUAUACUUGGGUGAUUACACUCGAGAAUCAUGUCACACGUAGGAGUGUUAAUGGAUCGCCAUAUAAAUGUUUCUUCAUGAUUUGUUAAGGUCAUAAAUUUAUUUUAGUUCAAAAAUGAAUAGAAAUAGAGUUUGAUCCUAAUUUGAUCCGGGCCUUAAAUUUUAUAGUGUAAAAUUUAGAGCCUAUUGUCACCCCUAGUCACACGAGAUAAGACGAUUCUCUUGAGAUUUUGUUUGAGAAUUGCAAGACUUACCAAUUUGCUUCCUCGCUGAGAUAAAUCAUCGUCAAUUAAUAGGGUGUUUGGUUUGAGGAAUAAACUCGUCAAUCAUCUUCUCACUUCUUUCCUUUUUUUGUUUGGUUUGUGAAAUGGAAUGAGUUGAUCUAUCACCACCCCAUUCCUCAUAAUAGUUAGUACUAAUAAUGAAUGUGAUCAUCCCACCAAAUUUGAGAAAUAGACCAAUAAUAUACCAUUUCAAUUUUGAUAGAGUGUCUCCUCAAACCAAACACCCCCUAAAUUUCCUCCAAUGUAAUGACGAGCCUCUCACACCAAGGAUUAUCACCCCUUGUCAAGAGGAAUAGACACAAGAAAUGCCUGACAAUGGUGCUUCGACUUCCGAGCUAGAGUUCAUGAUGACUAACAACGGGCUCACAAUGGUGCAAUAGUAAGUAUCAAAGAUCAAACCCACUAGACAAGAUAAAUCAUGGUAUGAGUUCGCUCUAUUGUGAUGGGUCGCUUCUCCCUAAUUCUUCAACCCCCUUACAUUCGAUCGCCCUAGGGGCUCAACCGCCAUGACCCCCAACUCCUUAGACAAUAAGAUGUGUAGCCUUGGGCCUAGCAUUUUAAGGAUCUGUUCCAUGAGGUGUGUAAAGAAAAUAGACCUCGACCCAUUUGACUAAAUGAUUUUGGUGGUUUGAUGAUCAACGUAAUCUGUGAACUAAUAUGUUUUCUAUGUUUGUAUUUGUAGUUCACAAGAUGCAAAAGUGACUUGGACUAAGACAUUGAGGAAGCAACACCUCAAAAGAAGACAUUAUGAAGACCAUAAGUGAAGAUCAACAAGUAUCAAGCAAAGUCUAAGGCAUGAAGAAAAGUGUAGUCACUCACGGAUCGUCUACCCAUGUGCAGCGGACUGUCUGGUGGCUCACCGGACAGUCCGGUGCCACCCGACGGACUGCCCGGUGCACCAGGGAACAUGAGCCCAAUGGAUAGUUCCUAGUAACACAACACCAGACUGUUCGGUGCAUCACCGGACUGACCAGUGCAAGACUGACGCGCGACAACGGUCACUUGCAACGGUCAUAUCCAACGGCUAUGGGGCACCAGACACAACACCAGACUGUUCGGUGCCUACCACCGGACUGCCCGGUGUGUCGCAGAGCAGCAGCUUUUCUCCAACGACUAUAAUUGAGUUGGGGCCUAUAUAUACUUCACCCAACUGAACAUUUGAAGGUGUGGGAGCCCAAACAACAUAUCAACACAUAUUAUAGAAAUUUUCAAGUGCUCAAACACCCAAGUGCUUAAAGAAUCACUCGGUGAUUAGCGUAGAUGCUUUUUGCGAAGUGCUUAGGUUAGUUGGAUCGCUUAAGCACUUGCUCUAGGUGAAUACUAGUUGAGUGAGUUUAGAAAAACCCACAAAACCCCUUGUCUCUUGUGCGAGCCGUUGUAUAUUGUUCCGAUUGGGGCGAGAGUCUUGCGAGACCGUGACAACCGAGUUUGUCUCACAGCCGCCACCAUGUACCGGAGGGAACGAGGCUCGCAGCGUUUUGACCGGAAGCUCGAUACUGGAGACAGCGGGGAGCGUCCGAGAGGAGCCGAAUGUGGAGCACCACUUGCGUGUGGAAAAGGCCCGUAGCUCUCUACGGAGUUUCUAAACUGUGGUGAUUGGCUCUCGCGUGAGUUAUCCUUUGCGUAGGGCCAACGAGGAUUAGUCGGGACCUUCAUGGUUCUGGAUACCUCGGUAAAAAUACCAUUGUCAUCCACGUGAGUUUGCUUUCUCUACUAGCUCUUUAAUAUUCCACAUUUACUCUCUGUACCUAAGUUGCAAUCUUUACUAUUCUUAGUGUAGAUUAUAUAUGAUUGAAACUUAGGUUGCAUAACUCCUUUUUGCGGUAAUAGCAACACUUAGACAAAACUAGUAUACACAUUAUAGAUUGCUUAUUUGCAUAUGUUUUGUUCUAGUGAUUUAUUUGUGGCCUAGUUUAGAAAGAAGUUUUUAAAAGUCCUAAUUCACCCCCUCUUAAGCGUCACCAUUUCCUACAAGGUGUCUAGUGCCUAGGGCCUUUGUCAACUGCCAUGUCCACCUAUAGGUAGGGGUGGUAAUGGGCUCAAUAUUUUAUACUGCAAAAUUUACGAAUCAAAUUAAGAUCAGGCUCUAUUUCUAUUCAUUUUGAACUAAAAUUCAUUAAGGGCUCAAACAAAUUGUGAAGAAACAUUUGGAUUGUGAUCCAUUACCACCCUACCUGCAUGAUCACUUCACUAGUGGACCCUAGAGCCUUUGUUAGUGCCCAGGGAAGCUCAUACAUUGAUUAUCUGCAAGACUCAUUCAAGGAUCCUAGCUCGAGAGAUUAACUUCAUGGACCAUCGCUCCCUGUGCCCCAAGUCUUGGGAACACCCCCUAGCCUAGGCCAGGGAGGGGCCCAACACUAAAUGACAUAUUAUAGAAGUGUCUAAAAUGAAUGGCAACUAUCAGAAACCUUGGUAGCCUUCUAGGUUGCCUUGACUCUAUGAGGCUUGGGACUCCUAGCGCGUUGGGACCUCUAAGAGCAUCUCCAAGAGAGGCUCUAAACAUGGUCCUAUUUUAAAUAUAGGGCUCAAAAUCAUAAAACAUUCUUCCAACAGCGGCCUUAUUUUAUAAAUUUUCAUCAAAUGGUUAUAGGGCUCGGUCUCUCGGGUCCUAAAUAUAGUACCCAUAUACUGGAGCCCUAUCCUCAUUUCCACUUAAUCUCCAACCAUUUAUUUCCUAAUAUUAUGAUUUAUUUCCUAAAUAGCAUUAUUUAAGGCCUGACUAUUGGAGUAAACAUUUCUUUUGAGACCCUAAACAUUCUAAAUAUGGUCCUAUUUCAAAUUUUAGGACUCUAUUUUAGGGUUUGUUGUUGUAGAUGCUCUAAGGGUAAUAUAUUAUAAGUCCCUAACACAUAUUGUGUCGUGAGAUAUGAAAGGGAAUUAGGCUUACACCUAGUCCCUAAUUAAUUUUGGUGGUUGAAUUGCCCAACACAAAUUUAUUGGACUAACUAGUUUGCCCAAGUGUAUAGAUUAUACAGGUAUAAAAGGUUCACUCUCAGUCAAUUAAAAGACCAAGUUUUGGAUUCAACAAAGGAGCAAAGUGGCAACCGAAGGCCCUCUGGUCUGGGAGCACCGGACUGUCCGGUGUACACCGGACAGUGUCCGGUGCACCAGAGGACUCCAACGCAAACUUGCCACCUUCGGGAAUUUCUAGAGGCAACUCCGCUAUAAUUCACCGGACUGUCCGGUGUCCGGUGCGCCAAGGAAGGUCAGCCUCAGGAACUCGCCAGCUUCGGGAAACUCCAACGGCUAGUCCGCUAAAAUUCACCGGACUGUCCGGUGUGCACCGGACUGUCCGGUGCGACUCCGGAGCAACGGCUAUCUCCGCGCCAACGGCUCUCUGCCGCGCAUUUAAUGCGCGCUCUGCGCGCGCAGAUGUCAGGCGCGCCCAUUCCGGCACACCGGACAAGGAACAGUAGCUGUCCGGUGUGCACCGGACACCCAGGCGGGCCCACAAGACAGAAGCUCCAACGGUCAGAAUCCAACGGCAGUGAUGACGUGGCAGGGGCACCGGACUGUCCGGUGUGCACCGGACUGUCCGGUGCGCCAUCGAACAGACAGCCUCCCAACGGCCACAUUUGGUGGUUGGGGCUAUAAAUACCCCAACCACCCCACCAUUCAUUGCAUCCAAGUUUUCCACUUCUCAACUACUACAAGAGCUCUAGCAUUCAAUUCUAGACACACCAAAGAGAUCAAAUCCUCUCCAAAUUCCACACAACGCCAUAGUGACUAGAGAGAGUGAUUUGCUUGUGUUCUUUCGAGCUCUUGCGCUUGGAUUGCUUUCUUCUUUCUUGAUCCUUUCUUUGCAAUCAAACUCACUUGUAAUUGAGGCAAGAGACACCAAUCUUGUGGUGGUCCUUGCGGGAACUUUGUGUUCCAAGUGAUUGAGAAGAGAAAGCUCACUCGAUCCGUGGAUCGUUUGAGAGAGGGAAGGGUUGAAAGAGACCCGGCCUUUGUGGCGUCCUCAACGGGGAGUAGGUUUGCAAGAACCGAACCUCGGUAAAACAAAUCUCCGUGUCUCACUUGCUUAUUCGCUUGGGUUUUGUUUUGCACUCUCUCUCGCGGACUCGUUUCUCUAUUACUAACGCUAACCACGGCUUGUAGUUGUGUUUAUAUUUGUAAAUUUCAGUUUCGCCCUAUUCACCCCCCCUCUAGGCGACUUUCAAUUGGUAUCGGAGCCCGGUGCUUCAUUAGAGCCUAACCGCUCGAAGUGAUGUCGGGAGAUCACGCCAAAAAAGAGAUGGAGACCGGCGAAAAGCCCACUACAAGCAACGGGAGCACUUCAUCGGAAGAGUCCCGCACCAAACGGAGGGAGAAGAAGAAGAGCUCCUCCAACAAAGGGAAGGAGAAGAAAUCUUCUUCUCACCACAAAGAGAAGAAGGAAAAAUCUUCUUCCCACAAGCCGCAUCGGAGUGGGGACAAACAAAAGAGGAUGAGGAAAGUGGUCUACUACGAGACCGACACUUCAUCAACAUCAACCUCCGGCUCCGACGCGCCCUCCGUAACUUCUAAACGCCAAGAGCGUAAGAAGUUUAGUAAGAUCCCCCUACACUACCCUCGCAUUUCUAAACAUGCACCUUUACUUUCCGUCCCAUUAGGCAAACCACCAACUUUUGAUGGUGAAGAUUAUGCUAGGUGGAGUGAUUUAAUGCGAUUUCAUCUAACCUCACUCCACAAAAGUAUAUGGGAUGUUGUUGAGUUUGGUGCACAGGUACCGUCUGUAGGGGAUAAGGAUUAUGAUGAGGAUGAGGUGGCCCAAAUCGAGCACUUCAACUCUCAAGCGACAACAAUACUCCUCGCCUCACUAAGUAGAGAGGAGUAUAACAAAGUACAAGGGUUGAAGAGUGCCAAGGAGGUUUGGGAUGUACUCAAAACCACGCACGAGGGAGACGAGCUCACCAAGAUCACCAAGCGGGAAACGAUCGAGGGGGAGCUCGGUCGGUUCCGGCUUCGCAAAGGGGAGGAGCCACAACACAUGUACAACCGGCUCAAGACCUUGGUGAACCAAGUGCGCAACCUCGGGAGCAUAAAGUGGGAUGACCAUGAGGUGGUUAAGGUUAUUCUAAGAUCUCUUAUUUUCCUUAACCCCACUCAAGUUCAAUUAAUUCGUGGUAAUCCUAGAUAUACUAAAAUGACCCCCGAGGAAGUUAUCGGGCAUUUUGUAAGUUUUGAGUGCAUGAUCGAAGGCUCGAGAAAGAUCAACGAGCUUGACGAACCCACCACAUCCGAAGCUCAACCCGUCGCAUUCAAGGCGACGGAGGAAAAGAAGGAGGAGGCUACACCAAGUCGACAACCAAUAGACGCCUCCAAGCUCGACAAUGAGGAAAUGGCGCUCGUCAUCAAGAGUUUCCGCCAAAUCCUCAAGCAAAGGAGGGGGAAAGACUACAAGUCCCGCUCCAAGAAGGUUUGCUACAAAUGUGGUAAGCCCGGUCAUUUUAUUGCUAAAUGUCCUAUAUCAAGUGACAGUGAUCGAGGCGACGACAAGAAGGGGAGAAGAAAGGGGAAGAAGAGAUACUACAAGAAGAAGGGCGGCGAUGCCCAUGUUUGUCGGGAGUGGGACUCCGAUGAAAGCUCUAGCGACUCCUCCGACGACGAGGACGCCGCCAACAUCGCCGUCACCAAGGGACUUCUCUUCCCCAACGUCGGCCACAAGUGCCUCAUGGCAAAGGACGGCAAAAAGAAGGUAAAAUCAAGAUCAUCCACUAAAUAUGAAACCUCUAGUGAUGAUAAUGCUAGUGAUGAGGAAGAUAAUUUGCGUACCCUUUUUGCCAACCUUAACAUGGAACAAAAAGAAAAAUUAAAUGAAUUAAUUAGUGCUAUUCAUGAAAAGGAUGACCUUUUGGAUUCACAAGAGGAUUGUCUAAUUAAAGAAAACAAGAAACAUGUUAAGGUUAAAAAUGCUUAUGCUCUAGAAGUAGAAAAAUGUGAAAAAUUAUCUAGUGAGCUAAGCACUUGCCGUAAGAUGAUUGACAACCUUAGGAAUGAAAAUGCUAGUUUAAUGCUAAGGUUGAUUCUCAUGUUUGCAAUGUUUCAAUUCCCAACCCUAGAGAUAAUAAUGAUGAUUUGCUUGCUAGGAUUGAAGAAUUGAACAUUUCUCUUGCUAGUCUUAGAUUAGAAAAUGAAAAUUUGAUUGCUAAGGCUAAAGAUUUUGAUAUUUGCAAAGUUACAAUUUCCGAUCUUAGAGAUAAAAAUGAUAUUCUUCAUGCUAAGAUUGUUGAACUUAAUUCUUGCAAACCCUCUACAUCUAUUGUUGAGCAUGUAUCUAUUUGUACUAGAUGUAGAGAUGUUGAUGUUAAUGCUAUUCAUGAUCAUAUGGCUUUAAUUAAACAACAAAAUGAUCAUAUAGCAAGACUAGAUGCUAAAAUUGUCGAGCACAACUUAGAAAAUGAGAAAUUUAAAUUUGCUCGUAGCAUGCUUUAUAAUGGGAGACGCCCGGGCAUUAAGGAUGGCAUUGGCUUCCAAAGGGGAGACAAUGUCAAAAUUAGUGCCCCUCCUAAGAGAUUGUCCAACUUUGUUAAGGGCAAGGCUCUCAUGCCUCAGGAUAACGAGGGUUACAUUUUAUACCCUGCCGGUUAUCCCGAGAGCAAAAUUAGGAGAAUUCACUCUAGGAAGUCUCACUCUGGCCCCAAUCAUGCUUUUAUGUAUAAGGGUGAGACAUCUAGUUCUAGGCAACCAACCCGUGCUAAGUUGCCUAAGAAAACUCCUACUGCAUCAAAUGAACAUAAUCUUUCAUUUAAAACUUUUGAUGCAUCUUAUGUAUUAACUAACAAAUCCGGCAAGGUAGUUGCCAAAUAUGUUGGGGGCAAGCACAAGGGCUCCAAGACUUGUGUUUGGGUACCCAAAGUUCUUGUGUCUAAUGCCAAAGGACCCAAAACCAUUUGGGUACCUAAAGUCAAGAACUAAACUUAUUUUGUAGGUUUAUGCAUCCGGGGGUUCAAGUUGGAUACUCGACAGCGGGUGCACAAACCACAUGACAGGGGAGAAAAAGAUGUUCUCCUCCUACGAGAAAAACCAAGAUCCCCAAAGAGCGAUCACAUUCGGGGAUGGAAAUCAAGGUUUGGUCAAAGGAUUGGGUAAAAUUGCUAUAUCACCUGACCAUUCCAUUUCUAAUGUUUUUCUUGUAGAUUCUUUAGAUUACAAUUUGCUUUCUGUAUCUCAAUUAUGCAAAAUGGGCUGCAACUGUCUAUUCACUGAUGUAGAUGUCACUGUCUUUAGAAGAAGUGAUGAUUCAAUAGCAUUUAAGGGAGUGUUAGAGGGUCAGCUAUACUUGGUAGAUUUUGAUAGAGCUGAACUCGACACUUGCUUAAUUGCUAAGACUAACAUGGGUUGGCUCUGGCACCGCCGACUAGCUCAUGUUGGGAUAAAGAAUCUUCAUAAGCUUCUAAAGGGAGAACACAUUUUAGGACUAACAAAUGUUCAUUUUGAGAAAGACAGGAUUUGUAGCGCAUGCCAAGCAGGAAAGCAAGUUGGCUCCCAUCAUCCGCAUAAGAACAUAAUGACGACCGACAGGCCACUGGAGCUCCUACACAUGGAUCUAUUCGGUCCGAUCGCUUACAUAAGCAUCGGCGGGAGUAAGUACUGUCUAGUUAUUGUGGAUGAUUAUUCUCGCUUCACUUGGGUAUUCUUUUUGCAGGAAAAAUCUCAAACCCAAGAGACCUUAAAGGGAUUCUUGAGACGGGCUCAAAAUGAGUUCGGCUUAAGAAUCAAGAAAAUUAGAAGCGAUAACGGGACGGAGUUCAAGAAUUCUCAAAUUGAAGGCUUCCUUGAGGAGGAGGGCAUCAAGCAUGAGUUCUCUUCUCCCUACACGCCACAACAAAAUGGUGUAGUGGAGAGGAAGAAUCGAACUCUAUUGGACAUGGCAAGAACCAUGCUUGAUGAGUACAAGACUUCGGAUCGGUUUUGGGCCGAGGCGGUCAACACCGCUUGCUACGCCAUCAACCGGUUAUAUCUUCACCGAAUCCUCAAGAAGACAUCAUAUGAACUCCUAAUCGGUAAAAAGCCCAACAUUUCAUAUUUUAGAGUCUUUGGUAGCAAAUGCUUUAUUCUUGUUAAAAGAGGUAGAAAAUCUAAAUUUGCUCCUAAGACUGUAGAAGGCUUUUUACUAGGAUAUGACUCAAACACAAGGGCAUAUAGAGUCUUUAACAAGUCCACUGGACAAGUUGAAGUUUCUUGUGACGUUGUGUUUGAUGAGACUAACGGCUCUCAAGUAGAGCAAGUUGAUCUUGAUGAGAUAGGUGAAGAACAGGCUCCAUGCAUCGCUCUAAGGAACAUGUCCAUUGGGGAUGUGUGUCCUAAGGAAUCCGAAGAGCCUCCAAAUGCUCAAGAUCAACCGUCCUCCUCCAUGCAAGCAUCUCCACCAACUCAAAAUGAGGAAGAGGCUCAAGUUGAUGAAGAAGAAGAUCAAUCAAAUGAGCCACCUCAAGAUGAUGGCAUAGAUCAAGGGGGAGAUGCAAAUGAUCAAGACAAGGAGGAUGAAGAGCAAAGACCGCCACACCCAAGAAUCCACCAAGCAAUCCAACGAGAUCACCCCGUCGACACCAUCCUCGGCGAUAUUCAUAAGGGGGUAACCACUAGAUCUCGUGUUGCUCAUUUUUGUGAACAUUACUCUUUUGUUUCCUCUAUUGAGCCACACAGGGUAGAGGACGCACUUCAAGAUUCGGAUUGGGUGGUGGCGAUGCAAGAGGAGCUCAACAACUUCACGAGGAAUGAGGUAUGGCAUUUAGUUCCAUGUCCUAACCAAAAUGUUGUAGGAACCAAAUGGGUCUUCCGCAACAAACAAGAUGAGCAUGGUGUGGUGACAAGGAACAAAGCUCGACUUGUGGCCAAGGGAUACUCCCAAGUCGAAGGUUUGGAUUUCGGUGAAACCUAUGCACCCGUAGCUAGGCUUGAGUCAAUUCGCAUAUUAUUAGCCUAUGCUACUUACCAUGGCUUUAAGCUUUAUCAAAUGGACGUGAAAAGUGCCUUCCUCAAUGGACCAAUCAAGGAAGAGGUCUAUGUUGAGCAACCUCCCGGCUUUGAAGACAGUGAGUAUCCUAACCAUGUCUAUAAGCUCUCUAAGGCGCUUUAUGGGCUCAAGCAAGCCCCAAGAGCAUGGUAUGAAUGCCUUAGAGAUUUCCUUAUUGCAAAUGGCUUCAAUGUCGGAAAAGCCGAUCCUACACUCUUUACUAAAACCCUUGAAAAUGACUUGUUUGUAUGCCAAAUUUAUGUUGAUGAUAUUAUAUUUGGAUCUACUAACGAGUCUACAUGUGAAGAGUUUAGUAGGAUUAUGACACAGAAGUUCGAGAUGUCUAUGAUGGGGGAGUUGAAGUAUUUCCUAGGAUUUCAAGUAAAGCAACUCCAAGAGGGCACCUUGAUUAGCCAAACGAAGUACACUCAAGACAUUCUAAACAAGUUUGGGAUGAAGGAUGCCAAGCCCAUCAAGACACCCAUGGGAACCAAUGGGCAUCUCGACCUCGACACGGGAGGUAAGUCCGUGGAUCAAAAGGUAUAUCGGUCGAUGAUAGGUUCUUUACUCUAUUUAUGUGCAUCUCGACCGGAUAUUAUGCUUUCCGUAUGCAUGUGUGCAAGAUUCCAAGCCGACCCUAAGGAAGCUCACCUUACGGCCGUAAAACGAAUCUUGAGAUAUUUGGCUUAUACUCCUAAGUUUGGGCUUUGGUAUCCCAGGGGAUCCACUUUUGAUUUGAUUGGAUAUUCGGAUGCCGAUUGGGCAGGGUGUAAAAUCAAUAGGAAGAGCACAUCGGGGACUUGCCAGUUCUUGGGAAGAUCCUUGGUGUCUUGGGCUUCAAAGAAGCAAAAUUCGGUUGCUCUCUCCACCGCCGAAGCCGAGUACAUUGCCGCAGGCCAUUGUUGCGCGCAAUUGCUUUGGAUGAGGCAAACCCUGCGGGACUACGGUUACAAAUUAACCAAAGUCCCUUUGCUAUGUGAUAAUGAGAGUGCAAUCAAGAUGGCCGACAAUCCCGUCGAGCAUAGCCGCACUAAGCACAUAGCCAUUCGGUAUCACUUUUUAAGGGAUCACCAACAAAAGGGAGAUAUCGAGAUUUCUUACAUUAACACUAAAGAUCAAUUAGCCGAUAUCUUUACCAAGCCUCUUGAUGAACAAUCCUUUAACAAACUUAGGCAUGAGCUCAAUAUUCUUGAUUCUAGGAACUUCUAUUGUUAAAAUUGCACACAUUGCUCUUUUAUAUACCUUUGAUCAUGUCUCUCUUAUAUGCUAUGACUAAUGUGUUUUCAAGUCUAUUUCAAACCAAGUCAUAGGUAUAUUGAAAGGGAAUUGGAGUCUUCGGCGAAGACAAAGGCUUCCACUCUGUAACUCAUACUUCGCCAUCACUCCAAGCAACUCUCUAUUCUUUGGGGAGAAAUGAGCAUCAAAGGACCGGAUUUCGUCUUUGGUAUAAUCUUAACUCACUCAUUUAUGACCAAAGAGGAAGAUAGCACUUCAAGGGCUCUAAUGAUUCCGUUUUUGGUGAUUCAUGCCAAAAAGGGGGAGAAAUGAGCCCAAAGCAAAAGGACCGCACCACCACCUAAUUCAAUUUUCAAAAACUCGUGUUGAAUAUUUUUUCAAUUGGUAUCCUAUCGUAUUCAAAAGGGGGAGAAAGUAGUAUUUCAAAAUGAUACAUCAAAACCCUCUUGAGCACUAAGAGGUGGAUCUCCUUUAGGGGGAGUUUUGUUUAGUCAAAGGAGAAGCAUUUGAAACAGGGGGAGAAAAUUUCAAAUCUUGAAAAUGCUUUGCAAAAUCUUAUUCAUUCACCUUUGACUAUUUGCAAAAGAACUUUGAAAAGGAUUUACAAAAGAGUUUGCAAAAAGAAAACUCGUGGUGCAAGCGUGGUCCAAAAUGUUAUAUAAGAAAGAAACAAUUCAUGCAUAUCUUGUAAGUAUUUAUAUUGGCUCAAUUCCAAGCAACCUUUACACUUACAUUAUGCAAACUAGUUCAAUUAUGCACUUCUAUAUUUGCUUUGGUUUGUGUUGGCAUCAAUCACCAAAAAGGGGGAGAGUGAAAGGGAAUUAGGCUUACACCUAGUCCCUAAUUAAUUUUGGUGGUUGAAUUGCCCAACACAAAUUUAUUGGACUAACUAGUUUGCCCAAGUGUAUAGAUUAUACAGGUAUAAAAGGUUCACUCUCAGCCAAUUAAAAGACCAAGUUUUGGAUUCAACAAAGGAGCAAAGUGGCAACCGAAGGCCCUCUGGUCUGGGAGCACCGGACUGUCCGGUGUACACCGGACAGUGUCCGGUGCACCAGAGGACUCCAACGCAAACUUGCCACCUUCGGGAAUUUCCAGAGGCAACUCCGCUAUAAUUCACCGGACUGUCCGGUGUACACCGGACAGUGUCCGGUGCGCCAAGGAAGGUCAGCCUCAGGAACUCGCCAGCUUCGGGAAACUCCAACGGCUAGUCCGCUAAAAUUCACCGGACUGUCCGGUGUGCACCGGACUGUCCGGUGCGACUCCGGAGCAACGGCUAUCUCCGCGCCAACGGCUCUCUGCCGCGCAUUUAAUGCGCGCUCUGCGCGCGCAGAUGUCAGGCGCGCCCAUUCCGGCACACCGGACAAGGAACAGUAGCUGUUCGGUGUGCACCGGACACCCAGGCGGGCCCACAAGACAGAAGCUCCAACGGUCAGAAUCCAACGGCAGUGAUGACGUGGCAGGGGCACCGGACUGUCCGGUGUGCACCGGACUGUCCGGUGCGCCAUCGAACAGACAGCCUCCCAACGGCCACAUUUGGUGGUUGGGGCUAUAAAUACCCCAACCACCCCACCAUUCAUUGCAUCCAAGUUUUCCACUUCUCAACUACUACAAGAGCUCUAGCAUUCAAUUCUAGACACACCAAAGAGAUCAAAUCCUCUCCAAAUUCCACACAACGCCAUAGUGACUAGAGAGAGUGAUUUGCUUGUGUUCUUUCGAGCUCUUGCGCUUGGAUUGCUUUCUUCUUUCUUGAUCCUUUCUUUGCAAUCAAACUCACUUGUAAUUGAGGCAAGAGACACCAAUCUUGUGGUGGUCCUUGCGGGAACUUUGUGUUCCAAGUGAUUGAGAAGAGAAAGCUCACUCGAUCCGUGGAUCGUUUGAGAGAGGGAAGGGUUGAAAGAGACCCGGCCUUUGUGGCGUCCUCAACGGGGAGUAGGUUUGCAAGAACCGAACCUCGGUAAAACAAAUCUCCGUGUCUCACUUGCUUAUUCGCUUGGGUUUUGUUUUGCACUCUCUCUCGCGGACUCGUUUCUCUAUUACUAACGCUAACCACGGCUUGUAGUUGUGUUUAUAUUUGUAAAUUUCAGUUUCGCCCUAUUCACCCCCCUCUAGGCGACUUUCAAGAUACUAACUAGAGAUCAAGUCCCCACGGUCCCUCGUGUCCUAGGGCACUCAUAAGCCUAAGUCCUUAAGACCCCUCGCGUCUCGGGCACCUCUAAAUAUAAGUCAUCAAGGCCCCUUGUGUCUUAGGGCAGUUAUAAGCCUAUGGCCCAUCAUGUCUCGAAGUAAUAAAGUAACAUGUGUUCGGGGUAGUUUGUUCCCUAAACACUAAAACACCUAACUGUUUAGGGUCCUUUGUUAGCCCUAGGGUCCCUAAGGAGUUCCCGACCUCACACUUCGAGGGCGACUAGAACACAGGCUCUCUAGGGGCCUGGUACCCCAAAGGUGAUAAGGACUCAAGAUAGUUAAUUUUAAUCCUAUCUCAUGAUAGAAGGAUGUGUUAGGCCCACUAGGGAUAAUACGGCCCCGAGAGAUGGACCACACGUAUAUAUGUCCAAGGACGCGAAAGCUUAAUGUGUGGUUAGUGACAUUACAGGCCUGACAAGCGUGCAGUUGCAACAACUUAGGCUAUAUGGCACUCGUGAUCACUAUAUUGCAUGUGUAUCAUGUAGCCAUGUGUGUGCAUGCGAUGUGUAUUACGAAAUACAAUCAGUAAAAUACCAAGUGACACGAACCCCGACAUACAUAGACACAACUUAUCGCACUUGCACUAUGACUGUUAUGGUGAUCACCUUAGAAAGGAAUGACUACUCAUAGGGAAAAAAAUAAGCCCCGGGAUGUUAUGGUACGAGGAUGCCAUACACACUCAUACCACCACACGCGUGCGCGUGUUCGUUUCACCGUUAAUUCACGUGGAUUGUGUGGUGUUGAGUCAGUUUAAAUUCAUAGCAAAUCAAAAUAUAUUUUAAUACAUUCUAAUACUCUUUAAUCUCUAUAAAAUUGGAAUAACCGAAUAAGGGCUAAAUUGAUUGAGAGGUUGGUUACACGAGAUAUGCAUGUGUUGUUUCUCUCGGGAGGUAAUCUGUUCGUUACGGCAGAUGUGCAUGGGCGUGAAUGAGUGACGCAUGAACGUAUGACUGUCGAAAAUCAAAAAUAGUGAUUUGAAGGAGUAGAGAUAACUGAACCAAAGAUCCAGUAUAGGCUCUGGAUUGUACUGAGCAACCCUUCUUUCUUCUUUUGAUUGAUUGCAUCCCCUGUUCUCUUGGGUGCCCUGUAGCGGAAUCUGGUCCGUAGAGAUAAAAUGAAGAAGAAUCUGGCCCAACAGAACAGAGCAGAGCUUUAAAACCUGAGAAAUUUCAGAAUUUGAGUCACCCGACAAAAGCAAAGAGAGAACGGAGAGACCGAACACAAAAGACCACGAAGCGGAAGCGCAGCCGCAGACCGCCGCCGGCGCACGACAUGUCUCGACGGCGGCGUGGAGGCUCCGAUUCGGACGGCGAGGACGAUAGCUUCCUCUACCGCUACCCCCUCCCAUCCGUCGCCGCCUCAGAGGGUGGAGGCGGCAAACCACGGGGCGGAGGCGGGGGCUCGGGCGGCCUCGCGCCGUCCAAAUCCACCGUCUACGUGUCCAACCUGGACUUCGCGCUCACCAACUCCGACCUCCACCUCCUCUUCUCCCGAUUCGGCCGCGUCGCGCGCGUCACUGUCCUCAAGGACCGUGAAUCCCGCCGCAGCCGCGGCGUCGCCUUCGUCCUCUUCGUCAGCCGGGAGGACGCCGCGGCCGCGGCCGCCGAGAUGCACGGCAAGGUGCUCAACGGGCGCACGCUCUCUGCCUCCAUCGCGGCCGAUAACGGCCGCGCCGCGGAGUUCAUCCGACGCCGCGUGUAUCGGGACAAGUCGCGGUGCUACGAGUGCGGCGAGGAGGGUCACCUCUCGUACGAGUGCCCCCGAAACCAGCUCGGGCCCCGCGAGAGGCCCGCACCGUCUAAGAAGUCGCGCCGCGGCGGCGGCGGCGGCGGCGGCGGGCGUGGUCGCGGUCGCGGGGGCCAGGCUGAUUGGCAUUCGGAUGAUGAUGAGGAUGCUGCUGCCGCCGUGGCGUUCGAGGAUGACAAGUGGGCGUCGGUGGUGGAUACAAGGGAAGUGGAGGAGAAGGCGGCUGGGAAGGGAGAAGGAAUGGGAAAGGCGGCGAGGAGGGAGAAGAGGAAAUGCUACUUCAGUGACGAGAGUGACGAGGACGACGACUAAUCUUCAGUGUAUCCUGCUAACUGAUCUUCAGUGUAUCCUGCUAACGUUGUUGUGUUUGACAAUAGAUCUAACGCGGAUUAUGUUAUCAACAGCUUUGUGUUUGAAUCAUAGCUUUUCAAAUUUCAGAAGUUAAUUGAUGGCAGAUUACUUGUUACAGACUUUGUGUUGUUACUGUAUUGUUCCCCUUAUUAUUAAGCUAAUUAUUCGUCUGAACAACAUCCCUGGUUUGGCCACUAUGACUCAUGGAUAAAAUGGCUAUCCAGAAAAGAAAUGGUUAAUCAAAUGCUUAUGAGAACUGCUGGUCAUUAUGCUUAUAUUGUGUCAUGGGCAUAAUAGGGAGCGACAGGCAACAGCCAGGCUGGGAUAAGGCUAGAGAAUAAGAUUGAGAUGAGCUGGGAUAAGGUUAGAGAAUAAGAUUGAAAUGAGAGAAUUGUGGAGAGUUGGUUAGCAUCAGAUAAGUCCAAGAAAGUAGGAGUUAGUUGAGAGUUUGUAGGAGAAGUUGGUUAGCCAUAGGGCUAUUUAUAAGCCGCAUGGCAGCAGGGAAUAAAUCAAGCAAGAUCAUUAUCAAACCAAUCUCUCUCUCUUGCAAUGACCCUCUCAAGCGCCUAGGGCUGCUACCCUAGAACCAAGCCUGCGGCAGAGGGGUAUAACCUCGCCGGAGAAGACAACCAUCCCCAUGGACCGAAGGUCCAUGACAUAUUGUCGGUGUUUUCACUUACAUAUUUUGUCAAGGUCACCAUUUUUGCUUUAGUAGCUUGUUGCCAGUCAGUUAUAAGAUGCUUACUAGCUGUGUAUGCUUAUUGCUUGGUUCUCAAGUACUUCUCAUGUAUCAGUUUUUUUAUUUCUUUUCUCCCUUCUGAUUAAAUGUUUGUAUACCAUUAAGAUGCUUAUUGCAAUGAAUAACUAUGCCUACUGCCUAGACUGGGAAGGGACACAUAUAGGCAGUAUACUGUGUGCAGGCUUUGCUUAACUUUCCUCUAUAUAUAAAGUUUCUCCAUCCUCUUCUCUAUCCAUUUUAAUACUUUAAACAAUAGAUUUAGCAAAACCAAAAUAUGUAGGAUACAUUUAUGAGUAUGACAAAUAUGUACACACGAAAACAAAAAUAAAGUAUGUCUCUAAUAUAUGUAUUCACGUAUAGGAACGAGAUAUAGAGGACGCUACUGGAGAUGAAGGAGAGAAUCUUUUAGAGGAGACUGUAAAAGAGAAAUGUAGAGGACGUUGUUGGAGAUAGUCUAAACAAUGUAGUCUACAAUAUAAAACAGUGUUCUAUACGACCAUAUGCACGAUCUGCUAGCCAUAGUCUAAGGUCUGCAGUAUGCAGCUAAACAAAGUUGAGCAUGUAAUUUCUCUUGUCGUCUCUGUUGUUGUGUAACAGUAACAAUACCACCAGGGUACACAAAUUAAGAGGGAGCAUUACGCAGGUCGGUGGUCCUGUUAAACCUAGACACGAGUGGGAGCCAGCACACAGUCAGUUAGAGAGGUUUGGACUGCAAUGUGUGUAGUACCAUAUGUCGUAUUGUCGUUACUACUCAUCGGUUGAUGAACACAAAAGAGGAAAAAAUUACAAGCUCAAACACCAAUGAGCAUCAAGAUCUUCUAGCUCCUUCCUCACCACAUGACUGUGGUGGGAGUUAUAGCAUAAUGGUUCUAAUCCACCUUUAUACAUGUCUACUAGAUGAACUCUAGUGCUAGAGUGUCCGAAGUCUAGCCUAGCCGUUGUAUAUGAACUGGUUUGUCCUAAUCUAAUGUGAUGUAUGUGAACCUAACCCACCUUAGAUGACUAGAUCAACCUUGAAAACAUUGCUCAAUCCCUCUCUUUUAUAGUGUGAGGAGAGAUAUUAUGUAAACCUCGGAUCCCACCAGCUAAGACCCAACUAACCUGUUCUUAUCCUGUUCCUGGAGUUGUACCAGGGCCCAUGCCCUAGGUCGUGGCACAAUGUUAGAGAUAUCCUUUUUCUAUGCGGUAGCCAUACUUACCGUAGGGGCGGGUAUGAUGCAUCGCUUCAUCGGGCAUCAGAGCUCGUACCGUCUGGUACUAUGUAUUUAGUAGCCGAUGUAGUCUUUUGUACUUGAUAAUACUUUAUGGUACACUAUGCGUGCACACGUGGAUACAAGAUUGAUGCAUGCACAUCAUACUAGUCUUGAGUGCCCUGCAUCCUAAGUCAUGGCAACAACAUGCUUGUCAGCUCUAUAAUAUCGCCCAUCAUACAUUUAAUUUGUAGUGUCUAAGCCUUAUCCAUUAAGCUAACGAUGUGGACUUAUCCUCAAACUUUUAGAUGUGGGGUCUAUUUGCGCCAUACUUAUUAAGUUGCAUACACCAACCAAUUCAACCCAAAAGCUUAAGCUAAUGGGAGGAGAUGGACAAUUCACUUAUAUUAUAUUCCAACACUCUCCCUCAUCUCGAGCCUCUCUUGGGUCUCAGACGUGGAAUAGGAGCAAGCAACAAUUAUUUUAUUUAAUUGCGCUAGCCAGGUUUCUGUUAAACCUGGACACGAGUGGGAGCCAGCACACGGUCAGUUAGAGAGGGUUGGACUGCAAUGUGUGUAGUACCAUAUGUCGUAUUGUCGUUACUACUCAUCAGUUGAUGAACACAAAAGAGGAAAAAAUUACAAGCUCAAACACCAAUGAGCAUCAAGACCUUCUAGCACCUCCAUCCAACCGUACGCCCCGAUCCCACCCGUCAGCUCCGUCCCCUCCAACCGUCCACCCACGCGCUCCGCACGCACGUCGAGGAUCCCGCGCCCACGUCGUACGUCAAAGCCGCAACCGUCCCACCCCGACCACUUGAACCUCUCUAGAGCCCCACUCAUUCUCCCCCUACCUCAUUCGCACGCCCGCAGAGCCAAGGCCCUAUCCCCGCACGACGCGCACGCCAGGGAGGAACCGUCGUCGUUCGCCGCCAUUCCGCACCCGUUCUUCCGCCGACAUUGAGGCCCUGCCAUGCUCUCUGCCACAGUGAGUUUCGCCUCGGUGCUAGUAGCCAGCCGCUUGGAACACGCCCCAAUUUCUCCCCUCUUCUUCUGAUUCGCUCUGACCGCGCUCACCCGCCAUCCUUUGCACAGUCCCGUCGUCCCCGCCAUCGACCCGAGCCACCGCUGUGCCGCCGCCGAGAGGUCCCUAAGGUUCGCCCUGAGGUAAGGAACCUCCCCUGCCCCCUCCAGUUCCCUCCCUCACUCUCUGUCGCGUGUAAUUGCUCGUCGGAGUUCCCAGCGCUGCCACCGAGCCGCCUCACCGUGGAUCUCCACCCUCCAGUGCCCCUACCGCGGUCUAGCUUUCGCCAUUGGGUUCCCCGCACCCUCCCCAAUCUUCCCAGGCCAUCCCAGCCGCCUUAAGACCCCCGGUGCGUCUGCGCCCCUUGUCUUCGGUGAGUUGCUCGUCGCGGUCGCGAACGCGGGCGGCGCCGCCACUGGUGGCCGGAGGAAAGGGCCAAAGCCGACCGCUCGUUCACCCCCAAUCCAAUGGUCCAAUUUUAAUUAACCCGAGCCUAAUCCUAACGGUCUGCCCGAGAUCUGACAGCCUAGCCACAUCGCCCACACCCGCAUCCCUGCCCCUAGGCCCCGCCUGUCAGUCGUCCGAGUCUCGCGCCGCACCCUCGGCCGAGGCGAGAAUCCGUCAGCAGUCCGAGCCCCACGCCGCGCCCUCGGCCGAGGCGAGAAUCCCAGUUGUCUAACCCCCAUCUCCCUUUCUUCUCUAUGCCCGGCGUGGCCAUGGCGCCCGCCACGGCGCAGCCAGCCCUCGCUCCCCAGCGCGGCCGAGCCGCUUAGCUUGAUCCCGCCGACGCGCUUGUAGCCCAAGUCUAGGGAAAUUUCUCUGCUAGCCCCUCAUAACUAAGGCUAAUAGUGAACCUAGCCCUUAGAAAUUGAAAACCAUAUAACUUUUGCAUCGGGACUCCAAUUUGGGUGAUUCAAAUUGCAUAAUUCUCAUGGCAUUUUCGUCUUCAUGUUAGCAGCAAGUUCAUCUGCUGUUUUGAUGUUUUAAUAAAUAUUUAAUUCCUGGUCAGACUAAAGUAAAUUGAGCCUAAAUUAAAAUGAUUUAAGAAUAGGGAAUCAUAGCAAAGGUUCUAGGUCUUGGAACCAUAACACACCCGAAUGAUUUAUGUCAUCAACAAACUAAUUUUAUAUAUUGAUGUUGAGAUACACACUUAGUUAAUGAACAUAGGGAAUCCCUUAACUACUGUUACUUUUGUUGAACCUGUGAUUACUCUGUUGCAUAUAUUUGGUGUAUUGUUCAUUUGCUAUUCUCCAAGUGUAUUGAAUGAAUGAUUGUUUCGCGAAGACAAUGAGCAGUCUGUGUUUCUCGAGGGAGUUGCAGGAGAAGUCCCUGAGCAGCAGCUUGGUGAAGGCAAGUGUACUCUGACCUGUUAUGUCCUAUUUACUUUAUAAUUCACUAUCCCGAAUACCAUGAUCAACCUAAGGAUUGACUAGUUUUAUAUUUACCAUGUCCUUGAAUUACCUUUUGGGGUUGAGCUACCAUGAUCCACACUAUGCUAGUGCUUUACUUUAAUCAAUGAACAUGAUGAGAAUUACUUUAUGAUACAAUGAUUUAUUCUGGAUAUGAUGACGAACUUGUGACACAAAAGGGGGCUCGGGCUGUAUCCUGAGUACCUCUCUGUAAGGACCUGUUCGUUGAGAGACCACCCGAGAAAACAAUGCAGCCAUGAGGGCAGUAUGGGACACUCUUAGCUAAUUAAUUAGAGGAGCUAGAGGUGUAAUUGCUUUGCUGUCGUGCCGUCAAUGGGGUUCGCAGUACAGUCCUAUCUCUGCCGAGGUUCUUUCGUUAUGCCUUUUGUUAGUCACCCCCUGCGGGGAGGAGUACUGUGUUUAUCAAACCCGGAGAAUCCUAACGGACGACUAUGACCUCUAGUGAAUCUUUGUAAAUGCUACAUAGUGAAACCUUGCCGACUCACCUUGGUAGUGUUUAAGGGUAUGGACAACCCGAGACAAAAGGGAUCACGACUCAUGGGUAAAGUGUGCGACCUCUGCGGAGGGUUGAAAACUGGUAUAUCAGUCGUGCUCACCACGGUUAAGAGCGACCUUGGGAUCCUCUUUGAUUAGAGUUACAGAUGAUCUGAGAUACAAUGGUUACAAAUGAUGAUGAUGGUUCUAUUAAUGAUGAUUCAAACUGUGGAUUUUGGUAUUUCCUCUAUAAGGAGGUACUCUUUGGGAUAAUAACUUGGGAUUGAUGGUAAAACUUAACUUAUAUUAAUGAAUAAAACUUGACAAAGUAAAAGCAACCUGCUUUGAGACUAACUCCAUAAAGCUAGUCCAGUGGAUUAGGCUAGCAACCUCCCCAGUCAGCUGCCUGUGGUGGGUUUAUUCACGUCGGCUACGUUUUUAUUAUGUGCACUUUGAUAUAUAUAUAUAUAUAUAUUGUGAGAGAGAUAUGUGGUGUAGGCUAUUGUGUAUUGAUGAAUGAAGAGCCAACCGGUUACAGUAUUUAUAGGGAGAGGAGAUCAUGAGUGGCUUAUAGAAAUAGUGCCAGAUUGAUCCCCUCUAUCAAUCAGUAUCAGGCCUUCCUAGUGUGGGCUGAUCCAGAUUGAUCCCUUACACCAAUCAGGAUCUCUCCUACCAUAACUAUCCUGGUUUCUAUCCAUAAUAGCACAGAUUGUUACCCUAGCCUAGUACACGGCAGGAACUGUUAACACCCCCCCGCAGUCGGAGCGUCGUGGGAAUGGACGUUCAGACUGGACCGGAACUCCGUGAAGACCGAGAAAGGUAGCCCCUUGGUGAAGAUAUCAGCAUACUGUGAUGAUGUCGGAACGUGAAGAACGCGAAGAUCACCCAGAGCCACACGCUCACGAACAAAAUGAAGGUCAAUCUCCACAUGUUUGGUGCGCUGGUGCUGAACAGGGUUGGAGGACAUGUAGACAGUACUGAUGUUGUCACAGUAAACCAAGGUGGCGCGACACAGUGGUGCAUGGAGUUCCUGUAGGAACUGGCGCAGCCAGGUAGCUUCCGCGACGGCGUUGGCAACAGCCCGGUACUCAGCCUCAGCGCUAGAGCGGGAUACUGUUUGCUGACGCUUAGAAGACCAGGAGACGAGACUAUCACCCAGGAAUACAGCAAAACCUGAAGUGGACCUGCGGGUAUCUGGACAACCAGCCCAAUCAGCAUCUGAAUAAACCACUAGCUCGGUCUGGGCAGAGGGACGCAACAGCAGGCCCAGAUGAAGAGUGCCACGGACGUAACGAAGAAUGCGUUUCAGUGCAGCAAGGUGAGGCUCUCGAGGGUCGUGCAUGUGAAGGCAUAUCUGCUGUACUGCAUAUGCAAUGUCUGGCCGAGUGAAAGUGAGAUACUGAAGUGCCCCGACAAGGCUGCGAAAAUCCGUAGGAUCAGCCACUGGGUCCCCAACAAUGCUAGAAAGCUUUGGAUUAAGAUCAACGGGAGUGGAGCAGGAUUUGCACUCAGUCAUCCCAGCGCGGUCAAGAAUGUCAAUCAUGUACUGUCGUUGGGAAAGGAAUAAUCCACUUGGUGUGCGCUGAACCUGCAUCCCCAGGAAAUGAUGGAGUUCGCCAAGAUCCUUCAUUGAGAAUUCCUGCUGGAGGGAUGUGAUGGUGCGUCGUAGAAGACUGGUGGAAGAAGCUGUCAAAACAAUAUCAUCCACAUAUAGCAGCAAAUAUACCAUAUCAUCACCACGGCGAAAAACAAAUAAGGAGGUGUCACACUUGGUUUCUACAAACCCCAUCGAGAGCAGAAACGUGGCAAACCGACUGUACCAAGCCCGUGGAGCCUGCUUCAGACCGUAUAGAGAUCGAUUCAGUCUGCAAACGAAGUCUGGGUGAGCAGCAUCAGCAAAACCAGAGGGUUGAGAGCAGUAUACUGUUUUUGACAAAGUCCCAUGAAGGAAGGCGUUCUUAACGUCGAGCUGAUGAAUCGGCCAGUUGCGAGUUAGAGCCAAAGUGAGGACCGUGCGAACAGUAGCAGACUUCACAACAGGACUGAAAGUUUCAUCAAAGUCAAUUCCAGGGCGCUGUGAAAAACCACGGAGAACCCAGCGCGCCUUGUAGCGCUCAAGAGAGCCAUCAGCAUUGAACUUAUGUUUGAAUAUCCACUUGCCAGAAACAACAUUGCAGGAGGGAGGACGAGGAACAAGGUCCCAGGUGUUGUUACUCUGUAGAGCAGAGAAUUCGUCCUCCAUAGCCUGACGCCAAUGAGGAUCAGCAAGAGCAGUGCGAUAAGUCCGUGGCACUGGAGACAAUGCUGCAACAUGAAACAGAGCGGGUUGGCGAAAUCCCAGCUUAGCACGGGUGGUCAUACGGUGAUGAUUGACCACCGGGGAUACCGGGAUCGCCCCAGGUGGCAGCUGAGGAGGAGCCGGUGAUGAAGAGGUGGCUGUCGGUGGAGGAGCAGCCACCGCCGGUGCAGGAAGUCGGCGGGAGUAGACGAUGCCGUCGAAGCGUCGUGGAGGUGGCUGUUGGAUCGUAGUGUGUCCAGUCCCAGCAGAAGGUCGGCGCUGGACCUCUGCCGAGCCUGAGAUGUUCCCAGGGGCAACAACAGUGGUGCCCUGGGUGUGCUCCGGAGGUGAUGUAGGGCUGACGGACGUCGGGGCCUGGGUACUUCCCGGGGUUGAGGCGGGAGCAGGCAACCAGCCCGGACUGGUGGGCGCCGAGGCAGCAGGACUGGCCGCAUGUGGCUGUGCGGUGGGUCUGCUAGGCGCCGGGGGAGCAGUACAGGCCGCACGUGGCUGUGCGGGAGUCGCCGAGAUUCCUGCAGGUAGAGGAGAACGUGCUAGUCCGAUGGGAGUAGGCACGAGAGGGUUAGUGUCCAGUAAAAAAUCAAAGUCCUCGACAGAAGGAGAGGCUGGAUGCGUGGCAAAGGGAAACGAGGUCUCAUCGAAGACGACGUGACGAGAUAUGAUGAUCUUAUUGGAAUGGAGAUCAAGACAUCGGUACCCUUUGUGGUGAUCGGAGUAGCCAAGAAAAAUGCAAGGGGUGGAGCGGGGAGAAAGUUUGUGGGGAGCCGUAGCUGACAUAUUGGGGUAACACAGGCAACCAAAAACUCGGAGAUGAUCGUAGGAUGGUGGGGAGCCGAAAAGGGCAUGAUGGGGGGUGGAAAAUUUCAGGGUUUUGGUUGGUAGGAGGUUAAGUAGACGAGUGGCUGUGUUAAGAGCUUUGGCCCAGUAGGAAGGUGGAACACUAGCCUGAAAUAAGAGGGAGCGAACAGUGUCAUUAAUGGUACGAAUAAUGCGUUCGGCUUUUCCAUUUUGAGGUGAAGUGUAGGGGCAAGACAUCCGCAGGUGAACGCCAUGGGUGAGAAAAAAAGUGCGGGCACUGGAGUUGUCAAACUCGCGGCCAUUGUCGCAUUGAAUUCCUCUGAUUGUAGCGUCAAACUGGGUGUGAACGAAUGAGAAAAAAUUGGUGAGGGUGGAAAAAGUGUUAGAUUUGAGUCGCAGAGGAAAUGUCCACAAAUAAUGAGAGCAAUCAUCAAGUAUGACAAGGUAAUAUUUAAAACCAGAAAUACUUGGGACAGGGGACGUCCAAAGGUCACAAUGGAUUAACUGAAAAUUUGUAGUGGCACGAGAUGAAGACACAUGAAAGGGAAGACGUGUGUGGCGACCCAACUGACAAGCAUGGCAUAAAGUAUCACUAGCAGGUUUAUUACAUGAAAUCCCUGAGUGAGCUAAUUUGGACAAAACUUCACGACCGGGGUGCCCGAGGCGUUGAUGCCAGAGCGACGAAGUGGUGGAGGCAAGGAAGGUAGAUGCCGGAAACCGCAGAGGGUAGAGUGGACCGGAGCUGUCACAUCGGACGAUCUCUCUCCGAGAGUGAAGGUCCUUCACAGAGCAACCAAGAGGAUCAAAUUCCACAGAACAAUUAUUGUCAGAGGUAAACUGUCGAACAGAAAUGAGGUUCUUAAUAAGACUUGGGGAAACAAGGACAUUAUUAAGGCGAAGAGAAUCUGUAAGAACAGCAGCACCCGUGGAUGUAACUGGAAUAGAAUUCCCGUUACCGACAAUAAUAGAGGAGGGAAAAGGGUGUUGUAAAGGAGUGGAAUGGGAGAGAGUACCGGCAUCAGAGGACAUGUGGGUGGUUGCCCCGGAGUCGAAGUACCACUCAUUUUGUUGAGGGGGCUGGAGCGUCAUGGUGUUGAAGUUGGAGACGAGCGAUUGCUGGUCCCAUGAUGGCAUGGGAACAACCUGCUGAGGGAAACUCGGUGGUGGCGCGGACCACGGUUGAGGUUGAGGGUGCGCCCAUGUUUGCUGCUGUGUCCCUGGCCAGGGGCCCUGGAUGCCCGUGAGGAGGGACUGGGGCAGCUGAGGAGCUAGCGCAGCCGGCGCAGGAGUGACCGGGCGGGUAGAGGACGCCGUCCGUGGUCCGGGCCACAUUUGAAUGGACCCAGACCAAGGAUUGUAGAAGCUGGGCCAGGGAGACGUGGGGGCCUGUCCAGCUUGUUUGGGAGCACGACCGCCUUUCUUCCCUGCGCGUUUGCCGCGCUUGCCGUUGCUGCUGUUGUUGCCGGAGGACUGCUGCAGGGUCGCCUGUUCUUGCUUGGGCGGAGGUCUGGCGGGGCUGGAGGCGAGUAGAGCGGUGGCCGGCAGGGAGGAAUGAUGUGUAAAGGUGAGUUCCUCAAGCAGCAAAUCGUUCCGUACCUCGAGGAAGGUAGAAAGAGGUCGUCCGCGCCGAAGGUGAAGACCGAUGUUGGCGAAGCGCUCGUUCAGACCGCGGAUGACGUUGAGGACGAGGGUGCGGUCAUGAACGGGUUCGCCAAGGUCGCCGAGAGCGUCAGCCAUCCCUUUGAACUUGCGGCAGUAGUCGGAGAUGGAGAGAUCGCCUUGACGAAAAUUGCGGAAUUCCGCGUCGAGGAAGAGCGCCCGAGUCUCGCGGUUCCCGAGGAACUGAGACUCAAUUGCAAGCCAGGCGGUGCGGGCAGUAGCGUUGCGGGUGAGGGCAGCAUCGGCGAGAUCAGUGGUGAUGGUGCCGACAAUCCAUGACUUGACGACGCAGUCCAUUCGAACCCAGUCAGGGGAAGUGGGCGCGAAGGUGUCGGUGAGUACAUGGUCCGCCAGAGUGUACUUGCCGACGAGGAGGAGGAAGGAGUCGCGCCAUCUGGUGUAGAGGGUGGAGGAGAUGUCUAGAACCACAGGGACAAGAGCCCGGAUGUUCUGGACGGCGACCGCCUGGGCGUGAAGGUUGAUGAGCGCGGCUGCCUCGUGGAUGAGAAGGGCAGCGCGAACAUCAGGGACUGCAGGAUUGGUGUCGAGGUCGUGCUGGUCUGCGUCGAGGUCGGACUGGUGAGAUCCGACGUCGUCGUCGAGAUCAGCAGCGGCACGGGCUUGAGCGGCGCGUGCCAAGGCGUCGCGGAUGCGCGCAUCGGCAGCAUCGCGUUCCCUGGUGGCGUCAGCAGCCUCGCGCUCAGCGUCACGGGCCCGAGUACGGGCAGCGGCGCGAGCGAGCUGUGCCGCGUGAAGGCGCUGGCCUUCCUCCGCGCCAGUGAUGGUGGCAGCAGGGGUGGUCGGAGCGCCAAUCUGGACGGCGUCGGAGGCGCCGAGCGGUGGGGCGGGCGGAACUUGGUCGCCGGCCAUGGAGCAGCGCGCAGGUGCAGCAGCU